rnacentral:lncRNA from 1 species
AUGGUCAACCAAGAUGAUCAUGCGGCGAACACAAGUACCAACGCUACCAUCAUCAACUCAACAUCUGUAGGCGAGAGCAAGAAAACCGAGAAAUUUUGCAGCCUCUUUCUCAUAUGUUAUUUGAACAUUGAGAUUCGUGCUGAGUGCUACUGUUGCGAGAAUAAGAAUGCCGACUGUUACAAGACGAAGACUGAGUGCCUGCAGAAGUGUCAUUCCUACAACGGUUAAUGCCCACCUUCAUCGCGGUUUCUGGGAUAGAAUUCCAUAUGCUCGGAAAAUUUGUCCGUCGGUAAUAAAAGGCACCUUAUAUGGUUUGGGCAAUUAGGUUCCAAUUAAACAUUAGAUAGCCCGCAUGUUUCCGUGGAGAUCCAACAAGGAAAAAUUUGAUGAAAGAAAUCCGAGUAACUAGUUGUCUUGCAUAUUUACAAAGUUCAAAUCCUUUGGUUGUUGUGCUUUGACUCGAUUGUCUAUUAUGCUGUUUCAUUUACUUGCACAUUGCCCACUUGUUCAUUUAACACACAUCACCCACUUGGUGAUUUGGCAGUUGUGGGCAGACAGUCAUAUAGAUUUAUUUUUUUUGAGAUCUCGUCAUAUAGAAUUGUAAUAGCACUGACAUGGAAAAAGUUAAAAACUGAAAAAAGUAAAUCAAACAAACAAAUGGUGCGCAAACUAAAUCAAACGGCACAAGACAAGUGAGAUUUAGUCAGGACUCUUUCAGAUGAAGAUAAGUAAAUUGCAAGAAAACAACAUGCAGAAACAUUUUUAUAUCGUAGCAUAACAUGCAAAAAAGCACAUAUAUAGUACAACGACAACCCACGUGUCUAUAUGCUAUCUAUAUGUAUAUCUAUCUAUCUAUAUCUAUCUAUCUAUCUAUCUAUAUAUCUAUCUAUUUAUACCUACUAAUAAAAGACGGAGCAUUUAUGCCCAUCCGUCUCAUAUUUUGCAACAAAAUACCCUACAUUUUUCUUUAAUUAACCCGCGGUCAAGGUUUAGGUGAGGUUCGUCCGUUGUGCUUUUGCAAAGAACGAGGAAACGGUUGCGUUUUGUAAGAUUCAAACUCAUGAUGUCGCCUCCAUGCCCAAAAGCCACAGCCAACUGAGUUAGCAUGCACUUGUGCUACUAAAUAGGUCCAUUAUUUCAUUAAAUUGUCCAACUUUGAUACUUUGCAUGAGAAUACGCAAAUUUAUAUGUGAUUGCAAAUUGCCUAGAAAUCAACAAGCCAACUCGAUAACCAAGAAAUAGAGGGAGAGGAGGAAUUCACUCAAUAAAUAGUGUUAACUAGCAGGGUUUCCCGCGCAUUUGUGCGGCUAUAUUGACCCUUUCCGAUGCCAACUAUAUGGCCUUUCACUAAACUAUAUUUCGAUUAAAUUUACACCCUGUAUAUGUCAUCAUAGAAAAAAUGAAAAUCGUAAUGAAACAUGCAAGUGCAUUAGGUUGUUCAUUUUAAUAUAGAAGUGCAUUAGGUUUUUAAAUAAAUUCCUUGGCAUGUCAGGUUGCAACACCGAUAAAAAACCAUGUAUGGGAUUUCAUGCCAAUCUUGGUGUUUUUCCUCUUUGAUCACUCCUCCUUUGUAUCAUUUAAUAGGUUUUCGAGAAAUUCCCUACCAAGACAUAAAUCUAAACAUGAAAUUCCGGUAUGUAAAGGUCCCUUUUUCUAGUCAUAUCAAUCAACGGACGCAUUCUUAACUACCUUUUCUUGAUUAUUGCUGCCUACCCACUUAUGUAUCAAGAGAUUCACAUCUUCUAUCGUGCUUAUUUUUUCUAUUGAUAAUAUUUUACAAAAUAUUAUCUUUGACUCCCUCCCUUUUAAUUUCUGAAGACUUUGAAAGUGAAGAAAUUGGUGUGACCUUGAAGACUUGGUAUUCAUUCGAGGAACAUGAAGCGUGAAGACUUUUGUUUUUGUAGUUUCAUUUUCUCUUUCUUGAGUCAUAGGAAACAUCGUACUGUUAAGGGGGUCGAGGAAAUACUAAGGAAAAAUUUCCAAGUGAUGCUCAACUCAAAAUCCUACACCUACCAAUCCCUUCGAGUGAAGCCAUUGGAAAUCUCAUGCAGUUCAAUCAAUUUCUUCAGUGACAGAGACGAAGUACUUCUGGUCUCUGAGAAAUUUGUUCUGACUGAGAAGUUAGGAAUUCGCCAGUGCGGAUUACCUACAAGUGAGGAACAUGAUAGCCCUGAGGAAUUAGACACUCAAAAUUCCGACCGUUGCUGUGCUAUGCGCCAGCUGUCCCAAAAUAUCUUACCCACCUAACGGUCAUAUCAUUGAAGGGCAUUUAUGUCUUAUCAUGUAGGGCUGCUCCCUAGGCUAUAAAUAGCCGCCCCCUACAACCACUAGCUGGUUGGCUGCUCCGAGAGAAACUGACACUUGUCAUUUGAGAGCAUCCCAUCCUCCGAGGACUUUGAGCGAAAAUCAUCAAGUGAGGAAAACCCAAACCCAAACACCUAAAAACCCAAAGUGAUUGAGCAUCACCGAAGAGAUUGAUCCUGCGUGGAUCCGACGCUUGUUACCUUUAAAGACUGUGCAUCUUCCAGACGGUUAGGCGUCAUGGUCUAGAGCAUCCAAGAGGAAAUUGUGGAUCGCCGAGUGACAGAGUUUGUGAAGGUUUGGAAGUCACCUGAAGACUUACCACGAGUGAUUGGGCGAGGUCUGUGUGACCUUAGCUCAAGGAGAAUACGGUGAGGACUGUGUGUCCUCAGGUUUAAAUACCUAGCUGCUCCAACCAGACGUACAACCACUACAAGAAAUAUGUCAACUUGCGACCACCACUAUUGGUCACUGAAAGGUCAUUGUUUUUUAUUUGCGGCCUUUUUUUGACCAAAAACAGAAGGUCAAAAGCUGGCGGUCGUAAACUAAAAUUAACGACAUAUGUAAAAGGUCGUUGGUUCUUCGACCGAAAUUUUGGUCACUAGCAGCCUUCCCAAGCCACGUAAGAUCCAGCGUGGCAAGCUGACAUGGAUAAGAUUCAACCCAGUCCGAUUAGGUGUCUAUAUGGGCCAAGCCCAUUAAUUCAGCCCAUUUAUAUUUUUUUUCUGCUAAUUUUUGGUCGACUUCAUAGGCCAAGCCCAACAAUUCAGCCUUCUAAUUUUCUGGGCCAUGGCCCUUUUGCAGACCAUUUCUUUAAGCAUUUUUGUUCAAGUUUUCCAGAAAUAAAUAAUGUGUCAGUCCACUAUUAUUUGGGCCAUAGCCUUUUUAGAGCCCAUAUAUUAUUUGGUCCAAUAGAACAUUUGGUCUUUUUAUCCACUGAUUUCCAGUUUACACAUUUGGAUAGCAAACACUCAAUAAUUCUCUUGAUUAAAUGAUUAAAUUCAGAAAUCAUUCAGCCAAAUACGCACAACAGCACAUACAAGUCCGCACGUCCAACAUCAACUAAAACAAGCAAAAAUAGAUACACAUGCACGAUACACAAGCGCAUACAAGUGUGCUUACAAGCAAAAACAGAUACACAAGCACCAAAACAUGGUGCAACAUCAACUAAAACUGUGGUGCGCAUCUCCAUGCCUCUUGAUCUUCCGUCACAGCAGCAGCAGCAGCCUAAACAACAUUAGAUCCUGAUCCAGAUCACCAAAAAGAAACAUUAUUAAAUGUUUAGAGACAAUGCCAUCAACAUGAGGCGGUAAUCCAACUUAACACUUUGUCAACAUAUUUUACAUAUGCAAAUAACUAAGAUUAUACUGUAUAAGUUUAAGAUCCAAAUGCAAUAUGAAACUGAAUUGCCAAAUAGUAGCAUGUUUAGACAACUUAACAACAUUAUUAAUACUACUUCAGAUUUGGGCUAGUAGAAGGCCAGGCAGAAUUCAUGAGAACUUUAUUGAAUUCAUUCAAUAGAGGAUAGCACAAACAAAAAACACACUGUCAAAAUGAAUCAUGACUGGAAUUGUAGAUGUUCUGUCGGUUAUACUAUAUUAAACUGAGCCAAUUAUUGUAGGUGAAAGUAAUGCUCCUAGUAUAUCAUCAUCAUUAACAUCAAACAAUUCUGAAUGUAAUCAGAGGAAGCACAGCCCGAUCAUGUGCAAUCAACUCAUAAUAAAAGGGUACAGAUGAUUAUUAGUGUUACUAUUAACUUGAUGGUGGCAUCUUAUAUACAAAAACAUGUAUUCCAAAAAAACAAUCAAUAGGGCCGCUGGAAGGGGAGCCCCGGCUCUAGCAAAAGGUCUUAAUGCUUUAGAGAAAAACAGAUUUAGACAAAUAGGAUUUAGUCAAUAGAACCCCAGAAACCCAUAAAAUCACUUCACAUCCUGAUUCAGCGUUUUGUGUUGAAAUAUUGGCCAUCACAAGUAAUUUUGUGCAAGUCUCAAAACAAGGCAAUAAUGAUAUAAUUACUGAAGCCGCUGAUAUGGUUAGAUUAUUUGCAAGUGACUUCAAACAGAACAUAUGGCAUGCCUUAGUCAUGCCCUAAGGCUAAACAGAACAUAUUUAAGCACCUCCAUGAAUACAGCCAAGUCUCUUAACAUGCUUCUACUACAGAAAUCAUAACAACAGCAGGGUCAAGUUGAGUUAGCUGCAGACCUAGUUGAGUUGUCCCCUUCGCUUGGAGAGGACGACGAUCUCGUCGUUGCCCACGUCCCCCGCCAGCGGCCGACUGCUUCUCCACGGUCUGGAGGGUCAGGCAGAAAUCAUACUGCCAUAGUGUGCCCCUGGUUAACCCGAAUCAGCAGCUCUCCAUCCUACUCCAACAGACUGAACCUCUGCUUGCUAUCUCACCUGACUGCCUACACGCAAGAAGGCAAAAAAAAAACAUUCACUCAAAGCAUCUUACAAUUCACAACAAAUUCGAGAUUGACCCAAUUAAUAAUACAGCAUAUAGAGAUUUCAUAAUCAAAGUUCAUGCUGCUAGGCUGCUAGCUAUCAAGAUGAAAACAACAUGUAGCAGAUACAAGCAUACCAGGAAAGGUGGGCUAGGUGUUUAGUAAGAUCGUCUACUGUUCAGCAGGAAGAUGGGUCAUGACCAAAUAUUACCUCCCUGAUUUCAUCCACCGUGUGGGACUUGAGGGGAACCUUGGCAAAGGUCUGCAGGCUGAGGCCGAGCAGGUCGAGGACCCGCACGUAGUCGUCGCUCUUCAUGCCCAGGCUCAGCUCCGACGCCAUGUGCCGCAAGACCAUCGCCCUGAGAAGAGAAGCACAGACAGAAGGCAGCCGUGAGUGGGUGCCAAGGGAAAAAACAUAAGCCACAACCGAGAAUUGCAAGAUUUAGUAUAAAGGAAAUAGGAUUUCAUAGAUCACCUAACAUGGGUUGCAUUGAAAUCCAAAUGAGUCAACAAAAAUUGACUCCCAUCAACGGCGGGUAUGCGGUAGCAGCUGUUGUCAUGGCAACCAGAAACUCAGAAAUGAUAUUGGCGGCAAACCCAUUACAUGUACCAGACGCCACCCACCUAUCAAAAUUGAUAAACACUUCAGUUGUGUCCGAUCCUAUUGCAGGGCUCGGAAAUGACAAUGCCACAACCCUUUGCAUGUACCAGACCCCAUAAACCUGUCCAAAUUGCUAUAUGCACGACCCGUUACAGUCCACAGUUACAGGAUAUGAUAUGCUCAGAAAUGAACAAAUGCCAAAACCCUUUUACUUGUACCAGACCCCAACCACAUGUAGCUAGCAAAUUAAUCACUUCACGCGUCUGAUCCUCUCAAAUGCUAGACUUGAAGAACAUCAACAAGGCCAACUAAAAUCGGACCCUCCCAAUCAUGGAUUUGGCUCCCAGGUAAGUAAUAAAUCACGCAUCUGAUCAGGUAAAGAGGAAUCAAGAAUAGGAGAAGGUUACCAAUCCCAGCUCUCGGAGGUGUUCUCCACCAGGUUGGGUUGGGUUGUGCGCAGACGUCGUAGAUGAUCGGCUUCUCGAACCACCAGAUGACGAUUUGGGUCCCCUCGGUGUACACCUGCAUGGAGCAAACGCCCAAGGGCGACCAGAAAUCAACCGCAGACCAAACGCGCAGAGAACAACAGGGAGCAAGGGACCAACCGCGGACCAAGCCGCCGUGGCCGCAGAUCCUGGGUGGUCGCUCGCGGAUCCGUCGGCGUCGAAGAUGGAAGGCUGGUCUUGGUGUUUGUCGUGGAAUUGUCACGGCAGAUGUCCUUAGCGUGAGGACUUAGUCGUGAGGCCAGCGCAUCUAUGUAGUAGGUUGAGAGGGGUUGAUUGGGAUGAGAGACGCAGGGCGGAUCAACGCACAAGACAAGGGUUUAGACAGCUUCGGGCCCCGGGAAAUAUCAUCCGGUAAUAGCCCUACAUGCUGUUUGUGGCUAGGUCUCAUUAUACUCAUAAGAGAAUCGCCGGUAAGCCGGCUCUUUGUGUCUAACCCUAGAUAUUGUUUCUUGUUGCUUGUCCCUCUUUGGGGUGCCCUGCCCCUCCUUAUAUAAGUUAGAGGGGCGGGUUACAUGUGGAGUCCUAGUAGGACUAGGACUAGUCUAUCUUCUCUUACAAGUUAAUUACAAGUCCGGGUCUUGCUUCCUCGUAAAGGAAGUAUUCGUCAUCCCUUUCUUCUUAAGCCGGCCCAUCAUAUACGUGAGCCGGCCUUCUGGGCCUUGGGCCUUGUUGUCCAUCUGACCCGCCCGCCGGGUUACUAAUGAGUCGCCAAGAUCGGGCAGGUUAUCUGUGAAUCGCCAAGCUCCGGGCGGGUCACCAGUGAGUCGCCAAUUCCGGCCGGGUCAUACCGCGGGGUAUAUCCCCGACAGUGUUGGCUGAUGAAGACGUCGGGGUCCUUCUUCUCCUCCAACUCCGUCCGUCAGGUACCCAUCCCAUCAGCGCCGCUCCGCUCCGACCGCGAACCCUAACCCUAACAGAGAAGGAUGAGGGAGCUUGUGUGCGGCCAGACACGGAGAUGGAGGCGGACGACGUAGGUAGGGAAGGAAGGAAGGGGAGGGGAGGUUGGCGCACGGCGGCGACAGGCGAGGUCGGUGGUGGCGGCGGGGAGGGGAUGGGGAGGGAGGUAGCGGCGGGGAGGGGAUGGGAAGGGGAGGAAGCGACGAGUGGUUGGGCAGGGUUCGCGAGGACGAGGAGUGGGUGCAGUGGGUUUUUUUCUCCUUUCUUCAGAUGGAUGGAUGGAUGGACGUGGGAUUGCUAGCAAUGGAUGGUAGGAUGUCUGCCAUGUCAUCGAUCCGUGUCAUACAUGGUUCCACCAAUCAAAAUCCAGCUUAUGUAAUUGUGUUUCUUUCUUUUGUCUCCUUUAUAUUUUUUAACCUCUUAUUUGGGGUAAACACUCAACAUAUUAGCCUCAUGUUGUAUGUUUAAAUGACCCAAUAUUGUGCACAUAUGUGUAUCUUAGGAUUUCAAACAAUGAUGAUUUUGUGGUCUUCAUUUGCAUUGCACACAAAAAGAAUUCAUUUUUCGAGUGCCCCAAAUGACUUUUUUUGUGAAGAACCUACCAAAUAAUUGUUGCACAAUUGGACCAACUCAUUUUUCUAAAAUACUAGGACAUAUUUAAUUCACAAUUGACCAAAUGGUUGGGUAUAAAAAGUUUUGAUCCACCUCUGGUGAAAAAGACAAAUUUCCGCUGAUUCAGUUGGAAGCGGGUCAAAUUUGAACUGCGGCUGCCUCAUAGUUUGCUAUUUAUUUUUCUCAAAAAUCAUUUCUAGGUACAAAAGUAUCUAUUUAAUCAGAGAAACACCAAAAAAAUUCCAAGAUUCAACCACUAGCUAGGAACGGUCAUUCCCGCCGUUUUGACCGCAUUUUGAAACAGGCAUAAAAAUUUCAAAACAAAUCAAAAAAAUUGUAAAACCUUCGCAUUGUGCCAUUAUAUGUGACCAAGUUACCAGGAAAAAUAAUAAACUUGUAAUACGGCAAUUCUUUUAAAAAAGUGUUCUCAGAAAUGAGCUAUCAUGUGUGAAGAUUCAUGGCUUUCAAGUCAAAUGAUCAAUCUUAUGGCCAAAUUCAUGGCCUAGUUUGUUCAGAUGGUCUCAUAUUGUGCACAAGGGUGCAUCUUGGAAUUCCAAACAAUGUUGCCUAAGUGAGUUUUCAUUUUCUUUGCACGGAAAAUUCAUUUUCCAUUUUUCGAGUGCCCCAAAUGAGGUUUUUUUUAAGGAACUACCAAAUAAAUGUUGUAAAAUUGGACCAAAUCAAUUUUAUAAAAUACUAGGACAUGUUUAAUGCACAAUUGACAAAAUGGUUGGGUGUAAAAGGUUUUUAUCCACCUUUGGUGAAAAAGACAAAUUUCCGCGAUUCAGUAGGAAGCGUGUCAAACUUGAACUGCAACUGCCUUAUAGUUUGCUCUUUAUUUUUUCCAAAAAUCAUUUCUAGGUACAUAAGUAUCUAUUUAAGCAUAAAUACAUGGUUUGGUGGUGAUACGUUGAGGUUUGGACGGUGGCCCACGGCCCCAACUCCAAAGCGCGUAGACUCACAUGCCCGCCGCGUGGUCAUCGCGUGACCGUGGCGUUGCCAUGCGUUCUGGGAAGCCUAGGCAUGCCUAGUAGGUUUGGCAAUCCCAAGGUAGAUGCUUGGAAGAAAAUAACAACAGAAGAAUCUCACGAGGAGACCGAACAAUGCUCAAACAUGAAUUAGCACCCAAGUGUUUGAUUAGUGGUACGGGAAAUUCACAUGGCCAAUGGGCCUGAGUUUUGGCCGAGGAUGAUCAUCUACUAAGGACACUAUCUUGGAAAAUUUGCAGCUCAAAUGGAGGAGCCUAGGUGUCACUCGCUUUGCAACGUACCACACUGAACAGAAAUAUGAAUGUUGAAGCCACACUCACAUGUAUUGUUAGAUGGGGCUCAAAUUUUGUGGAGAGCUAUGAUUUGGGAAUAUAGAAGAUGUGGCAAAAAUUCAGCUCAUUAGGAUAUGCCUAGCUAGUACUUCCUUCACAACAGUUCGAGUUGAACAAAAACUUUGGAAAUUUGCCGAGGAAGAUUUACCAGGCAAAUGGAGUUGAAUAUUGUCAUGAGGCAAUGAUUUGGAUAGUAAAGAAUGCCCAAUUUUUUUUGGGAAUUUUGGGAAUGACAGAAAUAUAGGUUGCUUCACAACCUAGGGCAAAAAUUGACACAUGGACAUGACACAUAAGCAAAACUGAUGAGGUAGCGCCUAGUCAUAGCAAUAAGUACCAAUGCAUCCACGUUCACAACCUCAUGACCAUUUAUAUUGGUCGUAAUAAGGUAGAAAUAAGGUCAUUGGCCACUCUUGUCUGCUUUGUGACCAUUUGGUGUAAGCAAUUUCAGGGUUUGAGCCCUUCCAAGUGAAAUGGCCGUGGAUUUAUGACCAAUUCAGCUGGGGUCACUAAGAGAAGGUCACAAGUUGACAUAUUUCUUAUAGUGAACUGUCACAGCAGUUGGAACUGGUCUACCAAAUCAUUGUCUUCACCAAGCCUACUGGUUCUAUUUCCUCGACUCUUUCAUUUCCUCAUUACUGUGGUGUGUGCUUGUUCAUAUAUGUUUGAAGACUUUGACUCAAGACUUUCUCAAUUUCCUCAGUUCAAUUUCUUCAGUCUAUUUUGUCUUCAUCCUAUUUUAUCCUGUGCUUACGCUUCCUGUACUCCGUGUCUGUUUUCAUUUCAGCAUGAUGACCAUGUUUAUGUUAUGUCAUGUAUGCAUCUGAGUACUUAUUCCGCUGCAAGUAGUUCUUCGCUAAGGAAUUUCCUCACCCUGAAAUUCAUCAGUGAAGAAUUCAUAAAAAUCGCCUAUUCACCCCCCUCUAGUCGAUUUAACGCACUUUCAUCGUCACAUUAGCAACGCCAGACGCUGAGACGAGCACGUGACACCAAGCCCACCUUGUCUAUCUUACGGUAACGCGAGUCGAGGCGGACGUCGACGCGGUAGCGACGACGGACGCCGAGAUGAGUACGUGACACCACUGCCACCCUGUCUAUCUUAGGGCAACGCGAUUCGACGCGGACGUUGUCGCGGUAGCGAUGAAGGAUGCCGAGACGAGCACGUGACACCACUGCCCCUGUCUAUCUUAGGGUAACGCGAGUCGAGGCGGACGUCAUCGCGGUAGCGGCGACGGACGCCGAGACGAGCAUGUGACACCACUGCCACCCUGUCUAUCUUAGGGUAAUCCGACUCGAGGGGGAUGUCAUUGUGGUAGCGACGACGGACGCCGAGAUGAGCAUGUGACACCACUGUCACCCUGUGUAUCUUAAGGUAACGCGGGUCGAGGCGGACAUCGUCGCGCUAGCGACAACGCACGCCGAGACGAGCACGUGACACCACUGCCACCCUGUCUUAUGGUAACGCAAGAGUCGAGGUGGACGUCGUCGCGGUAGCGACGACGGAUGCUGAGACGAGGACGUGACGCUAGGGCCCCCCUGUCCCCGUCGCGGUAGCGACGAUGGACGAUGAGACGAGUACGUGACACCACUGCCACCCUAUCUAUCUUAGGGCAACGUGAGUCGACUGCCAUUUGAUAUAGGUCAGAACUUUUCUGAAUACUUAGUGUCACCAUGUGAUCCAGACGAAUAAUUAAGAAAGUGUAUAAUUUUACAACCAUGGAUACGUGAGUCGAGGCGGACGUCAUCGCGAUAGUGACGGCGGACACCGAGAUGAGCACGUGACACCACUGCCACCCAUUCUUAGGGUAACGCGAGUCGAGGCGCACAUCGGCGCAUUAGCGACGACGGGCGCCGACACGAGCACGUGACACCAGGGCCACCCUGUCUAUCUUACGGUAACGCGAGUCAAGGCAGAUGUCGUUGUGGUAGCGACGAUGGACGCCGAGACGAGCACGUGACACCACUGUCACCCUGUCUAUCUUAGGGCAACACGAAUCGACACGGACGUCGUCGCGGUAGCGACGACGGACAUCGAGACGAGCAUGUGACACCCUGGCCACCCUGUCUAUUCAAAGUGCGUUAUAUCGACUAGAGGGGGGUGAAUAGGCGAUUUUUAUGAAUUCUUCACUGAGGAAUUUGCGGGUGAGGAAAUUCCUUAGCGAAGAACUACUUGCAGUGGAAUAAGUACUCAAGAGUAAGCAUAGCAGAGCAUAGGCAUGGUCAUCAUGAUGAAAUGAAGACAAACACAGAGUACAGAAAGCGUAAACACAGGAUAGCACAGGAUGAAGACAAAAGGACUGAAGAAAUUGAACUGAGGAAAUUGAGAAUGUCUUCUGUCAAAGUCUUCAAACAUAGAUAUGACAAGCACACAACACAGUAAUGAGGAAAUGAAAGAGUUGAGGAAAUAAAACCAGUAAGCUUGGUGAAGACAAUGAUUUGGUAGACCAGUUCCAACUGCUGUCUCAGUUGUACAUCUGGUUGGAGCGGCUAGGUAUUUAAACCUGAGGACACACAGUCCCGGACACACAGUCAUCACCGUAUUCUCCUUGAACUAAGGUCACACAUACCUCGUUCAAUCACUCGUGGUAAUUCUUCAGGUGACUUCCGAACCUUCACAAACUCGGUCACACGGCGAUCCACAAUUCCUCUUGGAUGCUCUAGACCAUGACGCCUAACCGUCUGGAAGAAGCACAGUCUUCAAAGGUAACAAGCGUCGGAUCCACUCAGGAUCAAUCUCUUCAGUGAUGCUCAAUCACUUUGGGUUUGUAGGUGUUUGGGUUUGGGUUUUCCUCACUUGAUGAUUUUCGCUCAAAGUCCUCGGAGGAUGGGAUGCUCUCAAAUGACAAAUGUCAGUUUCUCUCGGAGCAGCCAACCAGCUAGUGGUUGUACGGGGCGACUAUUUAUAGCCUAGGGAGCAGCCCGACAUGAUAAGACAUAAAUGCCCUUCAAUGAUAUGACCGUUAGGUGGGUAGAUAUUUUGGGACAGCUGGUGCAUAGCACAACAACGGUCGGAAAUUUGAGUAUCAAAUUCCUCAGGGCUGUCAUGUUCCUCACUGUGUAGGCAAUCCGCACUGGCGAAUUCCUAACUCCCCAGUCAGAACAAAUUCCUCAGAGACCAGAAGAACUUCGUCUCUGUCACUGAAGAAUAUGACUGAACUGUAUGAGAUUUCCAAUGGCUUCACUCGAAGGGAUUGGUAGGUGUAGGAUUUUGAGUUGAGCAUCACAUGGAAAUUUUUCCUUAGUAUUUCCUCGACCCCCUUUAACAGUACGGUGUUUCCUAUGACUCAAGAAAGAGAAAAUGAAACUACGAAUACAAAAGUCUUCACGCUUCAUAUUCCUCAAAUGAAUACCAAGUCUUCAAGGUCACACCAAUUUCUUCACUUUCAAAGUCUUCAGAAAGUCUUCAGAAAUUCAAAGUCUUCAGUCGAAGAACUUCAUUUUUAGGGGUUGACUUUCUCUGUAAAUAUCAAACUCCUCAUAGACUUAACCUGUGUACACUCAUAAACACAUUAGUCCCUUAACCUAUAAGUCUUCAAUACAUUAAAAUCACUAAGGGGCACUAGAUGCACUUACAAUCUCCCCCUUUUUGGUGAUUGAUGACAAUAUAGGUUAAAUUUUCAACGGGGAUAAACAUAUGAAGUGUAAAUACUGAUAUUUAGGAAUUUGAUUGCAAGAUAUAGAAGAACUCCCCCUGAAGAUGUGCAUAGUGAGGAAUUUGUUUUUGAAGCAAUGCACACUUGAAGAGUUGAAUCAUGGAGAUCUCCCCCUAUAUCUUGUAAUUCAUACACGCAUUUGACAUAAUAUAUGAAGAAUUUGAAAUGCAUGAUGAAAUAUGGUGACUGAUGUAAUUCAGCAUGCGUGCAAUAACAUUAACGAGGAAUAAGCAUGCAAAAGAAACAACAAAAGUAUCAGGCCACCAUAGAGUUUUAAGUUUACAACUCGAUAUAACAAAGUCAUCAGAAGAACGAGAGUUGUAACUUAGAAAAAAACGCCCAUAAAAGAUAGACCCGCUUGAAGACUAACUCAAAUUUCUCCCCCUUUGUCAUCGAAUGACCAAAAGGUUCGAAAAUGAGGACUAACGCCCCAGAAGAAUAUCAAGUUGAUGAAGGAGCGCCAGCGUUGUUGGGGUCAUUUGUUGAUGUAGGGCCUGCCGCAGUGUCGUCCAAGUCUUCAUGCUUAUCAGUUUCACGCGAUGAAGAAUAGGAGCUGGCCACCAAGGAAGGAACCUUGACCUUCUUGUAUUUCUUCGGUGGAGGUGCAGACCAGUCAAAGUCCUCCUUGAGACCCAUGUUCUUCAUAUCUUCUUCGCUGUAAAUGUGAGACAGAACAGCCCAGGUGCGACCGAAGACUUCAUGGAGGUAGUAAUGGUUUUUCUUCACUGCAUUAUGUGUAGCAGUCAUGUUGUGAAGAAUUGAACCAAACUGACGCUUAACCCAUUUAUGGUUUCGAUCCACCUUCUGGUGAAGACUUAGCAUAAGUUCACGGUCAGUCAUCACACGAGGAGCAGUAGCUUGAGGAUUUGGCUUGGAGGCAUGGGCAGCAGAAUCAUGAGUGGCAGAGUCAUCAUUGGUGGAAUAAGAUGCAGCCUUGGGAAAUUGACCAUCCAAUGGACGAAUGCCUUCAUCUAUAACAGCUGGUGCCUUGCCCUUUUCGUCAGCUGAGGAAUAGGUCCACUUGAGGACUUCAAUCGGGGGCAAGUAGCUGAGGUGAUUCUGAAAAUCAGCUUUGUAGUUGAGUGAAGACCUUGUUCUGAUGAAUCUCAUAAUCCACGGUGCAUAAGGCUUCAACUCAAACGGUGAAAGUGCAACAUUUGCCAGAGUCCUCAUGAAGAAAUCAUGAUAAUUGACAGGAAUGCCAUGAAUGAUGUUGAAAACCAGAUUCUUCAUGAUGCCAACAAUUUCCUCAUCAGAUGAGUCGUGGCCUUUGAUUGGACUCAUAGUCUUCGUCAGAAUGCGAUAGACUGUCCUUGGUACAUACUGCAAUUCCUUCACGAGGAAUUUUGUCCUUGAGGCUUGACCUGGUUUCCAUGGCUUCAUCAGCACUUGCAUAUAGUGAUCAGUAAGCUCAGGUUCUUGGUACAUGCAACAAGCUCCUUCAGGUGGAGAACUGAUGGGCAGGGCGUGAAGUAAUUCAGUGGCCGGUUCCUUAUAGUGAGUAUUUUCAGCCAUCCAGUCCAAAACCUAGGAGUUCACAUCGUCAGGAUCUCCCGUGAUGUGUAAAGUUGCGUAGAAUUGAAGAAUGAGUUCUUCAUUCCAAUCAACUAUGUCUGUGCAAAAGUUGAGGAGGCAUGUGUCAUGAAGCACACUGAGGACAGGAGUGAAGCAUGGCAGUGAUUCCAUGUCCACAUGAGGAAUAUGCUCGUGGUCGAAGACUUUUUCCUUGUUGAAGAGCAGUGAAGAAUAGAAGUUGGCCUAGCUGGCGGUCCAGAAGCGCUUCCUUCUAAGACGAGCAGAAUCAUAGGGAUUGUAGUCAGUGAAGAACACGUGCUCGCCAAAGAAAUCAUCAGCCUUGAAUUUCUGUGUCACAUCCCUAGUUCUGGUAUGACCUAGGCUAGCUAGUCAUGUGUGCAUCAUGUUUAAAUUCCAUUUAAAUUUGAAGUGGGGAUCUGUGAAACCCUCAGAAUCAUUUCUGGAAAUGACCCAGAUAAAAAUUGCUCCAAAAGGGUCCAAGAAAAUGUUCAUGUUGCUCUCUGAAAAUAUUGGACAGAGAUAAAAAUCAAACCAAUAUUUUUAGGAGAUCAUAAAUAUUUAUUUUGGGCAUUUGGAAUUAAUGCAGUAAUUAUUUGCUUUGGAUAUAUAUUGUUAUAUAUAUAUAUAAUAUUGUCCAAAAAUUAUGCCAUUUGUUGAGGAGUUAUGGAAUAAUACCACUAGCCCCUACAAAAAUUGGCAUAAGAAAAUAAAAUGAUUUAGUAUUCUACUAAAUCAGAACAAAUGUCAGAAAAAUAGAAAAGAAAACAAAAAGGGAAAAGCUUACCUGUGCUCACCCAAGGCCUGGCCUGGCCCAGCAGCCCAGCAGGCCGGCCCAGCCGACUGGCCAGUGCCAGUCAUCGUCCUCCUGGCGCCAGGAGGACGAUGGGCACGCGCUCGCUGCCCGCGCGCAUGCGCGCCACCUCCUGCUUCUCCCCCCUCAUCGCCCUGGACGCCUCCCGCAAUGCCACGCACACCCCUGACCCCUCUCACUCUCCCUGGACCCCUUUCCCCUCCUCUGCUCUCUGUUCCGCGCCGCCCGAGCGGAGCUCGUCGCCGCCGACGUCGUUCACCGUAGCCUCCACCUCCUCCUCAACCUCUCUCCACGCCCAGAAGCUCCGCCAUCGUCCCCCUCAUCUUCACGACCGAGCCACGCAAGCCCGGAGGCCCUGCAUCGCCGGCAACAUCACCAUCUUCCUCCUCCGCCGCCCUGGAUCGCCGACGUUGAUUAGUCGCCGUCCGGCCUCCCCCGAGCUCGCUGACGUCUCCAAACUACGUGGGGUGAGCCCCUCUUCGUUUCGCCCCUAUCCCCGUCGCCCCGCACGUCCUCUAGCACUAGCGCCGCCGUGCCCGAAGCUCGCCGCCGCCCUGCCAUGUCAUUGUCGUGGGCACAGCCGCCUCCGCCCGCUUUUGAGCUUACAGCCGUGCUAGUUGAGCUCGCAGGAGUCCGUAGCACUGCCCAGUGGUGGAAAUGGUGCACCGUAGAAUCGACCCGCACAACGCCGUGGCUCUGUCGCCGUUGAACCUCGCCGCCGGCGAGAUUCCGGCCUCCCGUGACCUCCCGUCUGGUCCAUCAUAUGCACGAGAGCAAGAGCUCAUGCCCGGUGCCUCCCGAGCGACAAACCGCAGCCCCUAGCAUGUUUCCGGCAAUCUUCCGCCGCGGUUUGAGGUCGCCGCCAGCCAAACUCCGGCGUGCCGACGUGGCACGGCCAUUAGUGGUUAAACCCCACUAAUUAGCCGCCCUACAGCCGCUGACAGCGGGCCCCACAGCAGGUCAAAGGUGAGUCAACGCGGGGUUAACCCCUGUCUCACUGACCAGUGGGCUCCGCCAGUCAGAUUUGACCCUGGCCAGCCCGUUGACCUGCUGACGCAGCGAUGACGUCAUGCUGAUGCAGUAAAGGAUUUUCUGGAUUUAAAUUAAAUCAGGAAAUUCCAGAAACUAGUAAAACUUCUAAAAUUCAUAGAAAUUCAACCGUAGCUCAGAUUGAAAUAAUUUAUAUAUGAAAAAUUAUCAGAAAAAUGCAAUCUAUCCAUCUGUACUAGUUUCAUGCAUGACAAACCAACUUAUACCUACUGUAUAAGUGAAAACAUAUAAAUGGAUUAUAUAAGGACUUAAAUUAGAGUCGCAUUUGAACCUUUGGUUCAAAUGGAUCUCUUCCAAGUUGAAUGCUAAAUGCAUUGGCUCAAAAUACAUCACAUAUACAUGCCAUAUUCAUGCAUCAUAUUGCUGCAUAUGAUUGUGUUUUUGACUGUCGACACCGUUCCCUCUCGAUAGGUCCUGCUCCGGAGAGUGUUCCAGAGUACCUGUCUGAGGAGCAGUGCCACCCUGUUGAUCUACUAGGCAAGCAAACCCCCUUUGUUCAUUCCGAUACAAUCCUACUCUCUCGCUCCUGCUCUCUUUUACUGCAUUAGGACAACAACGAUUCAACUGCUACUUUAUGCUGCGGUAGUUGAACCCAUUCCUCUGCAUGACCUGUCAUUGCCACAGUAAAUAGUUGAAACCCACUAGCAUGUGUAGGAGUUGAUUGAGCCAUGUUGUGUUCCUACCAUGCCAUGCCUACUAUUGCUUAGAGUUGUGUCAGGUCUGAUUCAUUGGGAAUGAAUUGGAGUGUUACGAUAUGUUCUGGUGCCGAGAGUUAAGCGUGUGAACACGAUUUGGUAAAGGUAGCGGUGAGAGGCCAUGUAGGAGUACAUGGUGGGUUGUCUCAUUGGAACCGUCCUUAAGCACUGAGUUCUGUGUAUGUUGUCCAAUGACUAGCUACUACCACACAUUGGGUUCCGGUAACUCGACCCCUCUCGACUUAUUAACCAACUUGAUCUCUGUCCAGGAGUUGCAACUAGUUUCUGGUGUUUGUAGGUAGUGCUAUUUUUCUACCGAGUGGCACCCGGCAGGGUGGGCUUGGGACAGACUAGGCACACGUGGCCCGGUGUACCCAGUGGCACCCGGAUGGUGGGCUCGGGAACCCUGUACACAUCGUUUGGGGCCGUGAGCGACACCCCGGCCGGAUCUCCUUGCGGAUGGAACCCGAAUAGGUGAUAAACCUGGACUAGAGUCUUGUGUGGUUAGUCAGGUCGUGGCCGACACCCUCGCCAGGCUUCCGCUUGAAGGUUGCCGAGGUACAUGACGUGUACAUGGCGGUAAGUGGCGAGAGCGUGUGUGACGCAGUACACCCCUGCAGGGUUAUCAUGAUCUAUUCGAAUAGCCGUGUCCUCGGUUAUGGACUUCUUGGAUGCUUACGUGGUACAUAGACAACCUGAAGUGGAUACUCUAAAAUGCUCAAGAUAAGUGUGAGUGCUAUGGAUGGCUUCUUGUAGUGAGACGGGAAUGAAUCCAUAGUGGUGUAUUGAGGUGGUGAUUAGUGGACUCGUGUGCGCCUUCUUACCUCAAAGAAGUCUCUCGUAGUCGUAGAACAGGAUAGCCACUGAGUCAAAGCUGGCUUGCUGCAACUAAACCCCACACUACCUUCUUGAUACAAAUGCAUGUAAGAUAGGAUCUGAAGUAAGUCUUGCUGAGUACCUUUGUACUCAUGUUGCUUUGUUAAUGUUUUUGCAGCGGAGACUUCAGUCUUACUAGUUGCUCCGCUUGGACUUCGACGAGUAGCUUGUACCUCAACUACGAUCUUGUACCCUUGGGAGGGUCUUGUAGAUAGUCAGGCUUCUCAGCCUUUUUCUUUUGUAGUUGUCUGUACUCACAAAUGUAAUGCUUCCGUUGCUUGUAUGCUCUGAAUGAUGGGUCAUGUGACCCCUGUUGUACUUAAUGCUAUGUGGCUCUUCUGGGCCUUUUAUCUAUAUGAGUUUGCGUUAUGUUGUGAUGCCAUGUUGUACAGCACAUACUUGCAUGUUAUGCGUACGUGUAACGUGUAUUGCUAUGUGUGGGAUCCGACAAUCUAGUUGUUUAUCCUUGGCAGCCUCUCUUAUGGGGAAAUGUAGUCUAGUGCCUCCUUGAGCCAUAGUAGUCCGCUACAGCCCGGUUCACCGGAGUCCUGCUAGCCCAGCACUACUGCUCUGGACACUUGACUGGCCGGCAUGUGUUUCAUUUCAUUCCUGUGUCUGUCCCUUCGGGGAAAUGUCACGCGGUGACAUCCGGAGUCCUGCCUAGCCUGCUACAGCCCGGGUUCCCGGAGUCCUGUUAGCCCAGUGCUACAGCCCGGAUUCACACGCUGCUGACCGACACGCUCGAUGUUGAUUCAUGUAUGCAUGUACCCAUACGUUAGUGCCGCUUUGGGUUCACGACUAGCCAUGUCGGCCCGGGUUCUCUGUCAUAUGGAUGCUAGCGACAUUGUCAUAUACGUGGGCCAAAAGGCGCAAACGGUCCCGGGCCAUGGUAAGGCGACACCCGUGGGAAUACCGUGCGUGAGUGUCGGGACCCCGAUUCCAAGUCACACCGAUCUAGCCUGUAACACCUCAUAUCACUUNNNNNNNNNNNNNNNNNNNNNNNNNNNNNNNNNNNNNNNNNNNNNNNNNNNNNNNNNNNNNNNNNNNNNNNNNNNNNNNNNNNNNNNNNNNNNNNNNNNNNNNNNNNNNNNNNNNNNNNNNNNNNNNNNNNNNNNNNNNNNNNNNNNNNNNNNNNNNNNNNNNNNNNNNNNNNNNNNNNNNNNNNNNNNNNNNNNNNNNNNNNNNNNNNNNNNNNNNNNNNNNNNNNNNNNNNNNNNNNNNNNNNNNNNNNNNNNNNNNNNNNNNNNNNNNNNNNNNNNNNNNNNNNNNNNNNNNNNNNNNNNNNNNNNNNNNNNNNNNNNNNNNNNNNNNNNNNNNNNNNNNNNNNNNNNNNNNNNNNNNNNNNNNNNNNNNNNNNNNNNNNNNNNNNNNNNNNNNNNNNNNNNNNNNNNNNNNNNNNNNNNNNNNNNNNNNNNNNNNNNNNNNNNNNNNNNNNNNNNNNNNNNNGCCUUACCAUGGCCCGGGACCGUUUGCGCCUUUUGGCUCACGUAUAUGACAGUGUCGCUAGCAUCCAUAUGACAGAGAACCCGGGCCGACAUGGCUAGUCGUGAACCCAAAGCGGCACUAACGUAUGGGGACAGGCAUACAUGAAUCAACAUCGAACGUGUCGGUCAGCAGCGUGCGAAUCCGGGCUGUAGCACUGGGCUAACAGGACUCCGGGAACCCGGGCUGUAGCAGGCUAGGCAGGACUCCGGAUGUCACCGCGUGACAUUUCCCUGAAGGGACAGACACAGGAACGAAGUGAAUCACAUGCCGGCCAGUCAAGUGUUCCGGAGCAGUAGUGCUGGGCUAGCAGGACUCCGGUGAACCGGGCUGUAGCGGACUAGUAUGGCUCAUGGAAGCACAAGACUACAUUUCCCCAUAAGAGAGGCUACCAAGGAUAAACAAGUAGGUUGUCGGAUCCCACACAUACCAAGCAUUUCAAUCAUACACACAAUAUGCUCGAUAUGUGCAAAUACAACAUGGCAUCACAACAUAACUCUACGACUCAAGUAUUUAUUCAUUAGGCUCCGAGGAGCGAGAUAUUACAAACAUGGGUCUCAUGACCCAACAUUCAGAGCAUAAAAGGCAAACACAUGCGGAAGCUUAACAUGUCUGAGUACAGACAUUUACAAAUGGAAAAGGCUGAGAAGCUUGACUAUUUACUAGAUCCUGCCGAGGGCACAAGAUCGUAGCUGAGGUAUCAAGCUAAACGUCGAAGUCCACAUGAGACUAAUAGCGAGACUGACGUCUCUCUGCAAAACAUAAAAUAAGCAAACGUGAGUACAAAUGUACCCAGCAAGACUUACAUCAGAACUAUCUACAUAUGCAUCGGUAUCAACAAAAGGGGUGGUGGAGUUUAACUGCAGCAAGCCAGCUUUGACUCGGUGGCUAUCCUAAACUACGACUGCAAGUAACUCUUUUGAGGUGGCGCACACGAGUCCACAUAUUCACCAUAUCAAUACACCACUAUGGAUCCGCUCCCGUCUCCCUACGAGAACGCCAUCCAUAGCACUCACGCUUAUCUUGCGCAUUUUAGAGUAUCCACUUUCACUUGUCUAUGAACUGUACAGGCAACCCAGAAGUCCAUUUCCGCGGACAGGGCUAUUCGAAUAGAUGAUGUUAACCCUGCAGGGGUGUACUUCGACACACACACUCUCACCACUUACCGCCGUUUACACGACAUGUACUCGGCAACCUUCAAGCGGAGGCCCAGCGAGGGUGUCGGCCAUAGCCUACCUAAACACUCAAGUCUCUAGUCCAGGUUUAUCGCCUAUUCAGGUUCCAUCCGCAGGGAGUCCGGCCGAGGUUUCCACAUACGGCCCCGAACGAUGUGUGCGGGGUUCCGAGACACCAAACGGGCGCCCGGCAUACCCGGCCACGUGCCUACCGCAUCACAGCCCACCCCUCCGGUCAGCGCUGCCCACGGCCUCCAGCAUACUACAAACACCAGAAACUACUUGCAACUCCUGGACAGAGGACAAGGGUGAUUAAGAAGCCGAGAGGGUCCAUUGGUAGUAACUGUAUCAUGGAUCACAAACACAGAACUCAGUUCCUGAGGACGGCUGCAAUGAGACAACCCACCAUGUACUCCUACAUGGCCUCUCACCGCUACCUUUACCAAAUCGUGUUCACACUCUUAGCUUACACACAGUAGGACAUGUUCAUCACCAUUCCAAUUCAUCCCCGACGAAUCAGACCUGACACAACUCUAAGCAAUAGCAGGCAUGACAAACAAGCAUGAAUGAGUAGGCACACCAGGGCUCAAACAACUCCUACUCAUGCUAGUGGGUUUCAUCUAUUUACUGUGGCAAUGACAGGUCAUGCAGAGGAUAAGGGGUUCAACUACCGCAACAAGUAACGGUUGAAUCGUUGUUGUCCUAAUGUAGUAAAAGAGAGCAGGAGCGAGAGAGUGGGAUUGUAUCGGAAUGAACAAGGGGGUUAUGCUUGCCUGACACUUCCGAAGAUAGUAUAGCUCUUCAUCGGUGUCAUCGAUCUCAUCGUCGGAAUCACGGCUAUUGAGAGGGGACAAUCACCGGCAAACAAGGAAGAACACAAUCAAUGCAAUGCACAAUAUGAUGCAUGAUCAUGACAUGGCAAUAUGACGUGAUUUGGCCUAAUGCAAUUAGCAACAGAAAGGUUUGGGUUGAUUUGAACUCAAGGUUCAAAUUCAAAUUCAAACUAUGAAUUCAAAUAGUGCAUUAUCAUGUUUUCACCUAUACAGCAGGUAUAACUUAGUUUGACAUGCAUGGAAAUGAUACAGAUGGAUAGAUUGCAUUUUUCUGAUCAUUUUUCAUAUAUUAAUUAUUUCAUUCUGAGCUACGGUUGAUUUUAUAUGAUUUUGAGAAGUUUAUACUAUUUUCUAGAAUUUCCUGAUUAAAAAUAAAUCCAGAAAAUGUAAUACUGCAUCAGCCUGACGUCAUCACUGCGUCAGCGAGUCAACGGGCUGGCCAGGGUCAAACCUGACCCGUGGGACCUGCCUGUCAGUCUCUCAGUGCCUAAUUAAGUUUAGGUUUUAAACUAAACUAACUUUUAACAGGGGCUGGCCCCACACGUCAGUGGGUCAGGGGGGAAGUCAAACCCCGGUCAAGCAGGGUCAAACCCGCCGGACUUGGUCCACGGCUCGUCGCCUGUGAAACCCGGGACGGCGGAGGGGCUCGGGAUUUGCCCACGGUCGACCAAAUCGACCGCGGUUUGGUCCUACGCGUAGCUGGGGCUCGCGCGCAUCUAGUAGGCCAAGCGGGAGGAGCUGGGGUGGUCUAAGUCGACGGCGGCGAGCACGAAUGCGGCGGCCGGAGUUCGGGCGUCGGUGGUUUUGCUGCUGUAGCGUGCUAGUGGGUGAAUGGAUGCACUAGCGAGACGCUACGAGGUGCGGUGAGUGUGUUAGGCACCGCGCGGGACCAAAUGGUCACCGGAGUGAUGCUGGCGUCGAGCUCGCGCGGCGGCGUGCUACGGUGAGCAAGGGGGCGGCGUCUACAAUGAGCAAACGGAGCAGAGAGGAGGGGGGUUCGACGCAGGGGCUCACAGUGAGUGCAGAGGUGGCCUCGGCGUGCUCGGGGAAGCACCGGAGCGAGCGGGGCGGCGAGAGGGAUCUCCGGCGUUGGGAGGUUGAAGACGACGACGUGGAGGCACUCGGGGGCGUCCGGCGUUGCACAGCUCGACGAGGAGGAAGAGGGAUACUAGGCGGAGCUCUUGGGCAUCUCAGGGCGUCGCCGGGAUGGCGGUGUCCGCGGUGGUGGCGAGCGGCGGCGACGGAGGCGUUCGGGCGGGAAGAACAGAGGAGGGGGAGAGCGUUCGGGGGAGAGGUCGAGGCGUCGAGGGGGUGUCGUGGCGCCGUCUAGGUGCAAUGGGGAGGAGCCAGGCAGGCUGGGAGGGAGGAGGUGGCCGCGGCGUGUAGCUGCGCGCGUCGGGCACGCGCCCUCGCCUACUGGCGCGAGGAAGGCGACAGGAGAGCGCCUGGUGGGCUGGGCCGCCAGCUGGGCCGGCCAGGUGGCUGUGGUGGGUGCCACGUAGGUAUCUCCUCUCUCUGCUUUCUGUUUUUCUAAUUUGUUUCUGUUUUCUAAUUAUUUGCCUCUGUUUUGGGCUUAGGAAAAAUACCAAGGCAUUUCCUAAAAUCCUGAAAAUAUUCAUGGACACUUGCUGAAUUAUUUCAGUGGCCCAAAAAUAGUUCCAACAUUAUUUGAACAUUUAAAUUAUUUAUAGCAUUUAAAUGCCCAAAAUUCAAAUACAAUAAGAUUUAAUUCAAAAAUCCAGGAUGGCCUAGAAAUAGGUGCAUCAUUUUUGGCAGAGGUUUUCACCUUUAACAAAAAUCAUGAACUUUUCUAAAGGGCAUUUGGGUUCAUUGAAAAUAUUGUUUACUUGAACCUAGUUGAAUGCAUUUGGUGCUAGGGUUUCAACAUCCCCAUUUCAAGUUUCUUUGAAAAUUAAACAUGAUGACAUGAGGAACAAGCAAAAGUCAAACAAGGGCUGAUCUGGGGCUGUGACAGUGAGGCCGCAAAGUGAUAUGAGGUGUUACAUGCUAGAUCGGUGUGACUUAGAAUCGGGGUCCCGACAUUCUGCUUCUUUGAGAAUGGAUCCUUUGGCUUGGGCUGAGGAGUGUCAGUCAAUUGCAUUAUCACCUCAGGAAUCGCAAUCUCAGGUUCUUCAGGCUGAGGAAUUUCAGCUUCUACUCCAGUGACAGCCUGGGUCUUCAAUUCUUCAUGUACAUUUUCUUCAGCACUAGUGGCUGGAAUUUCUUCAUGGAUAGAUGGGGUUGCACGAGGUUCUUCAGAUCCCAUUUGUACUUCAGUAGCAACAGGGGACUGAGGAAUUUGCUGUAAAGGUGUGAAGAGUGGAGAGUUGGGGUGCUGACUUUCCCAAAAGUCAUCAUUCAUCACUGGUGUGGUACAGCCAAUGUCCACGUCUUCAUCUUCUAUUUCUUCAAUGCCGGCCUCUUCAGCAGUAAACUGAGGCAUAGGCGAGGAAACAACUGGAGUUGAAGGGAUUUCAUCCACUUCAAUUUCUUCGUCCAUCUGCUCUGACGAAGCAGCAGAAGGAUUUUCUUCAUCAGAUCCGCUAGGGAUCAAAUAUUCUUCAUCAAAAGGAACAAGGUCCUUUGAUGGCAUGGUUGAGAUCGGAACAGCAUCAAUGGGGUUUGCAACUGAGCUGGUCAAUUUCUUCAUCUUCUUCGGAGCUGAAGAAUCUGAUGAAGCUGAUGCUUUCCUUUUCUUCACUGCUGCACGCUCUGCAGCCUUGGUCUUCUUCACAUCUGAUGCAGAUGGAAGAAUUGGAGUUGGGGUAGGCGCAGGAGGAGCAGAGGAAUGUGGUUGGUUUUCUUCAGGCACAACUGAUGCAGUUGCCCUGACCUCUUCAUUUUCUUCAGGCGCACCACUAGUGGAUGCCCUGGCAAUUUCAUCAGCGGCAGGAAUGCAGUCAUCAGCCCUAGACCUCACAUUUUCUUCAGCAUCCUGAAUGUCAUCAGCGGUGCUGGCAUGUUCUUCAGUUGGCUGAGCAGAUGCUUCAGUCUGAGGAAUUUCUUGUUGCGAUGGGGCUGCAACAUUGGAGGUGAACUUCUCAGUCAGUUUAACAAACCUGACCUUGGCUCCUUGCCAAUCAGCAAAGUAAGCAUUGAAAUCAUCGCUGAGGACUUUGAUUUCAGACUGGAUCUUCACAAGAUCAUCAGUUGUCAUAGAGACAACGUUGUUCUUCAGGAAUUUCUCCUUCCCGUACUGCGCUUUCUUGAUCUGCCUGGCCUUCUCAAAUUUCCAUUUCUCUUCUUGGAUGAAGGCAGUCAGCAUAUGAUUUUGGCCAGGAGUCAGCUUGAAGUCAGGCAUAGGAGUGUUUGGGUCCUUGUGCCAGAGAUCAAUGUAAUUGAGGACCAACUUUGGAUCCAAAAGCAGAGGCACAUUUGUGCCCUUGGCUCUAGCGGCCCUGACUUGCCUAUCUCUGAUGAUUUCAGCAAGUUCUUCAUCAUCAGCUUCGUCUUCUUCAGACGGCACUUGGAAGGCGACCUGCUUCUUGUGAGGACUUGGGCGAGAACCUCGUCCAGCAGUGGUCUUUGUCUUCAGCAGAGAGGGUCCUGUUGAAGAAUUUGGAGCAGCCGAGGAACUAGCUGAAGCUCCUGAGGCAAUAAAGAUCCCUGUAGUCCUUUGGCACGUGGCAAGAUGCACAGGUGCUGAGAAUUUGGUCGGAGCAGCUGAGGACUUAUGCGGAGGAGCUGAGGAUUUUGGAGGAGCAGGAGCAGCGUGAGGAAUUGGCCGUGAGGGCUUUGAGGAUUCUGGCCGUGAGGGCAUUGAAGGUGAAGCAAUUGGCUUACGCGCAGGCUUCUUUGCCAUGGAUUUCUUCGGUUUGACAGAGGCCUCAGCGGCAGCAGCAGCAGGAGAGUCUUCAUUGAAUUUCCUCACUGCUUCUCUGGCUUGUCUAGCCAGCUUGGCCUGGCGCUUGGCCCAUUCAUCAGGAUAAUCCUCACCACGCUUGAGGCUGGUGGGAUCAACUUCUUGGCCAGGUGCCAACGGAGGUCUUGGGCAUGGAGGAUUGAGUGCGAAUUUCUUCAUGUACUUGGGAGUCACAUACAUGUACUCCCUCCACUCUCUUGCCCAUCUCCUCUCUAUCUUCUGAAUGCGCACCUUGCGCUGAUUUUUAUCUUCCUCAGGGGGUGUGCAGUACCCAGCAUAGAUGUCCUCAGGGAUUUCAAAUGCAGUGUUGACCUCAGGCCUCUUUCCUCCUUUCUGUGGCUUCUUUCCAUCAACCAUUUUCUUCAGAUGAGGAAUUUGAACAAUUGAAUUCUCUGAAGAAGUAUGCAACUUUUCUUCGAGGAACGCUACAAAUGAGUUAAGUUGAUGAGAACCUAGAGAUUCAACAGCGGACAUGAGUACCUGUGAACAGAGUAUAGUUGCGAGGAAUUUGGAGAGGUCAUAUGCGUUCUCAAAAGGUUUUUCAAAAAGAACAAGUUUUAGGAAUUUGACCAGAUGAGUCUUGAAGAAUUUCACUAAGCGUUCUUUGUCUUAGGUUCCAGAGUUGCAUAGAUCGAAGAUCCACACAAUUGAGGAAUCUUGAAGAAAAAUUAUUGCUUAGAGAAAUGAAUCAAGAACAGAUGACAUGUGAGGUGUUUAGUGUGUGAAGAAUUUGAAGAAUAAACACCUUUGAAGAUUUUGUAGAAAUCAUUUGAAUCAAAGAGGGCAGUAAAAGUAACUUUUAAUUACCCUGGACAAAGAACACGACGAACUGUGAGGUAGAGAUGAGAAGUUCGUCUGUGCAGAUCUUCCACGCCCUAACUCGGCGGAGGAAGACGGCUACGGGCGGCGGCGGAGUGAAGAUUUCCGCGGUCGGCGCGAGUACGGCGGCGACGAGGUCGAGGCAGUGAAGCUCUUCCUCACCGGCGACGAUGAAGUAGCGGCGGUGCUAGGGUUUGAGAAGCUCGAGCUGGAGAGAGGUCGAGCGGAGUAAAGGAAGGGAGGAAGGGGAGAUGGGGUAUUUAUAGCCACGGUGAAAAACUGUUCGCCCGAAGAUUUUGGACGAACGUGCCCCUGACCCUUCUCAUUCGCUUGACAUGUGUCACCCACGUACUGAGAAGUGGAGAUCGUGUUAGAUCGUGGGUGAAUAGAUAAGUAUUUCAUGGGAUGCGGAACGGUUUGAGCGGCAAAGCCGAAAAUUUGGAUAAGAUAAGUUAAAAGUUCCGUUCGCAAAUUCUUCAGCUGACAAGGACACAGUGAAGAUUUUGAACGAGUUUCAAAUAGAACGCACAUGAAGAAUUUGUGAAUAGAUUGGGUUGAGUAUAGCAUAGAGGGCGAAGGGUCCGAUCACAUUCACUUAGCAGGAAAACCAACUUGAAGAGUUAGCCAUAAGUGAAUGUUGCAGAGUAUAUAUAUAUAUAUAUAGCCAAUGAAGAAAAACGACGGAAACAGUGAAGACAAUGCAAAGUUGAAGAAAAUGAACAACUGAGGAAAGACUUGAAUUGAAGAUUUUCAACUUUUGGUGGUGGCGUGACCCACCGUAUAAGAAUGAUGAUUUUAGACACCGCGUACAAUUGUCGUAGGGUUCUGAGAAUCAAAUUCUUCGUUAAUUUCUUCACACUUAGAGUGUUAUUCUUCAUUGAUUGAAGAAAAACGUUUCUUCAUGUGUUGCGCAUCUAAGUCAUCAAUUUUGCAUAAGUGUUAGGAUGAGUGUCCUUUUCAAAGAACAUUCGAAGAUUCUAAGAUAUUUAGCUCACACUGCAACUUGCUAAAUCUCUUCUCAUCCAAGGGCUUUGUGAAGAUAUCGGCUAGCUGUUCUUCAGUCUUCACAUGCUCAAUAGAAAUGUCACCCUUCAACACAUGAUCAAGAAGAAAAUGAUGACGAAUCUGAAUGUGCUUUGUCUUCGAGUGCUGAACUGGGUUGUGAGAAAUCUUGAUGGCACUCUCAUUGUCACAGUAGAGAGGCACAUUCUUCAUGUUGACGCCGUAGUCCUUGAGAGUUUGCUUCAUCCACAGCAAUUGAGCACAGCAAGAACCAGCAGCAAUGUACUCAGCUUCAGCAGUAGACAGUGAUACGCAGUUUUGUUUCUUUGAGGACCAACAGACCAAAGAUCGUCCGAGGAAAUGACAUGUACUAGAUGUUGUCUUGCGGUCCACACGAUCACCAGCAUAGUCAGAGCCAGAAUAUCCAAUGAGAUCAAAAGCCGAGCCCUUGGGGUACCAUAAUCCAUGUGUUGGUUUGUGAGCUAGAUAUUGAAGAAUAUGCUUCACAGCCUUAUGGUGUGAUUCCUUCGGUGUAGCUUGAAAUCGGGCACACAUGCAAACACUAAGCAUAAUAUCUGGCCUAGAUGCACAUAAAUACAAUAAAGAACCAAUCAUGGAGCGGUAUACCUUUUGAUCGAAGUCAAUACCAUUUUCAUCAGUGCACAGAUGGCCAUUUGUGGGCAUCAGAAUUUUGACGCCUUUGCAAUCUUGCAUGCCGAAUUUCCUCAGUACAUCCUUGAGGUAUUUCUCCUCAGAUAUGAAUAUGCCAUUGCGCUGUUGACGAAUUUGAAGACCUAAGAAGAAUUUUGAUUCUCCCAUCAUAGACAUUUGAUAUUCUUCACUCAUCAUAUAGGAAAAUUCAUCACUAUAAUGUUGGUCAGUACAGCCAAAGAUAAUAUCAUCAACAUAUAUUUGGCACACAUACAAUUCACCAUCAUAAGAUUUAGUGAAAAGAGUAGGGUCGAGUGAACCGGGUUUGAAGCCUUUCUUCAUGAGGAAUUCCUUCAAAGUAUCAUACCAUGCCCGAGGGGCCUGCUUGAGGCCAUAGAGGGCCUUAUUGAGUCUGAAGACUUUGUCAGGAUGCUUUGGAUCUUCAAAACCUGGGGGUUGAGCAACAUAUACUUCUUCCUCAAGCUUACCAUUAAGGAAUGCACUUUUCACAUCCAUUUGAUAUAAAGUGAUAUCAUGAUGGUUAGCAUAAGCAAGUAAUAUGCAAAUAGCUUCAAGUCUAGCAACAGGUGCAAAAGUUUCAUCGAAAUCAAUUCCUUCAACCUGUGUGUAGCCUUGAGCUACAAGCCGUGCCUUAUUCCUCACCACAAGGACAUUUUCAUCUUGCUUGUUGCGGUAGAUCCACUUUGUGCCAAUGAUAUUGUGCUUGCGAGGAUCUGGACGUUUAACCAGUUCCCAGACGUUGUUGAGCUCGAAUUGAUGUAAUUCUUCUUGCAUGGCCUGAAUCCACUCAGGCUCCAGAAAUGCUUCAUCUACCUUAGUGGGCUCUGUGAUAGAGACAAAAGCAUAGUGCCCACAAAAGUUAGAUAAAUGUGAAGCUUUUGAGCGUGUGAGAGGACCUGGUGUGUCAUCGAUGAUCUUUUCAACUUGCACUUCUUUUGCAACACGAGGAUGAGCUGGUUGUCGUCGAGGAAUUUGAUAAGCAUUUUCUUCAGCACCAUUUUCUUCAGCAUUUUCUUCAGGUGCAUUAGCUCGACGUUCUUCACGUUCUGGAAUGAAUUCUUCAGCAGAUUCUUCGGUAGGAAUGACCUCUGUAGCCUUGAACUUGAUAGUUUCCUCAGGUGCUGGUUCAUCUAUCACAGAGGGUAGGUGCUCUCUUUGCGAGCCAUUAGUUUCAUCGAACCGCACAUCUACAGUUUCAACAACCUUGUGAAGAACGUUGUUGAAGACUCUGUAGGUGUGCGAGUCCUUUCCGUAACCAAGCAUAAAACCUUCAUGUGCUUUUGGUGCAAAUUUAGCAUUGUGAUGAGGAUCUCUAAUCCAACAUUUAGCACUGAAGACUUUGAAAUAACUCACAUUGGGUUUCUUGUCAGUGAGGAGUUCAUAGGCAGUCUUCUUGAAGAAUUUGUGAAGAUAUACCCUGUUGAUGAUGUGGCACGCAGUAUAAAUUGCCUCAAUCCAGAAGUGACGAGGCGUCUUGGACUCAUCAAGCAUAGUGCGAGCCAUCUCAAUAAGAGUUCUGUUCUUGCGCUCCACGACGCCAUUCUGCUGAGGAGUGUAAGGAGCAGAUAACUCAUGAGUAAUACCAAGUUCAUCAAGAUAGUCAUCAAGACCAGAAUUCUUGAACUCAGUUCCAUUGUCACUUCUGAUGUGCUUGAUUUUCACACCGAAGUUGGUUGAAGCCCUCGAGGAAAAUCGUUUGAAGACUUCCUGCACUUCAUGUUUGUAAGUGACAAUAUGUACCCAAGUGUAACGAGAGUGAUCAUCAACAAUAACAAAGCCAUAGAGAGAUGCAUCAUUUGUGACUGCUGAGUAAUGGUUAGGACCGAAGAGAUCCAUAUGAAGCAAUUCAAAUGGUCGAGUAGUGGUGAUGAUAGUCUUUGCUGGAUGCUUAGCCUUGGUCAUCUUUCCAGCUUCACAGGCUCCGCAUAAGUGAUCCUUGAGGAAUUUGACAUUCUCAAUGCCAAUGGCAUGCUUCUUCUUUGCAAGCGUGUGCAAAUUCCUCAUGUCUGCAUGACCAAGUCGUCGAUGCCAUAGCCAGCCUUCUGAAGCUUUUGCAAGUAGGCACACGGCUGGUUGCGGUCCUAUAGAUAAAUCAACAAUAUACAAGUCUCCUCUCCUAAAGCCUUCGAAGACUUUGGAAUUGUCAGCUUCCAUAACCACAACACAACGAUACUUGUCAAAGACAACAACCAUAUCAAGAUCACAAAGCAUUGAGACAUACAUGAGGUUGUAUCCUAAGGACUCGACAAGCAUGACUUUGUCCAUGUGUCGAUCCUUUGUGAUCGCAACCUUACCUAGACCCAAUACCUGACUUUUGCCUUUGUCAGCGAAGAUGAUAUGCUUCAGAUGCGAUGGUGAUAAGGGAGCAUCCAUCAAUAGAUUCUUGUCACCAGUCAUGUGAUUUGUACAUCCACUAUCGAGGACCCACUCAGUGGCUUUGGGUUGAUCAUCCUGUAGAUGAAUUAGUGCAGCUUACGAACUUCAUAUACUUCAUCAGUGAAGAAUAUGACAUCACAAUUCAUCAGGCCAAUUUCAUCAAGCAAUGCAACAGUUAAAACAGUAUGAGGACGUGAGAAAUGAAAGUUCAUUUCUUCAUGAUUAGCCUGCGUCCUUUCAGGCACUUUUCACGUCUCCAACAAAUUCUUCAGACGUUUGAGCACGUCUGGAGACCUGACCCUGCAUAAGAGAUUAGUCCUUUUUCUUCACCACCCACAUCUGAAGGGGUGGCAAAGAGUUCAUCACUCUGCGAGCUCCAUACGAGAAAGGUGGCAUAGAAGCCAAUCCAUUUCGUUUCACAUAAGAGGAGUUAGGGUAAGCAUAUGAAUAAGCAGAGAAAUUCUUCGAGGACUUAUGAACAUAAUGAUUAGAAGAAUAAUGCUCAUAUUCAUAGCCCUUAGCUCUUCCCUGCGAAACAGAGUUGUUAGCACGAUGAUGUUCAUAUGAGGACUUUGAUCCUUUUGAGGAAUAUGAUCCACGUGAGGAAUUCGAUCCGUAUGAGGACUUGGAUCCAAAUGAAGAAUUUGGUCCACAUGAAGAAUUUGAUCUGGGGUUCCUAUUCUUCACAGGUGGUGUCAUGAGGACAUUCACCUGAAGACUUUCAAGGCACCUUUUGGGAACCCAGAUUUUCUUCAUAGGAGAACCGUUCCUACAGUUAGUGCCAACAUAUCUAGCAAAUACUUCACCAUUCUGAUUUUUAAACAGUUUAUAGUUGGAGUCAAAUGACUCAUCAGAAGAAUGAGAAGAUUCACAUGUAAAGCCAGAUAAAUUAGAUGGAUCAACUGGAGGUCCCUUUGCAGCAACCCAUGAGGUUUUGGGGUACUGCUCAGGCUUCCAAUAUGUACCAUCAGCAUUGAGUUUCCUCUCAAAGGCAAUACCCUCUUUCCUAGGGUUCCUGUUGAGGAUCUGCUUUUUAAGCACAUCACAAAGAGUCUGAUGCCCUUUGAGGCUUUUGUACAUGCCUGUCAUGUACAAUUCCUUCAGCCCUGCAUCAUCAGUGAUACUAGCAAUGUCCUCAGAUGAGGAAUUAGUGAUAGCAGAGACAGUUGAAGAAUUUGUAGCAUUAGAAGCAUUUGAACAUUCAGGUGAAGAUUUAGCAGAUUCACGUUCAAUGCAUUUCAAACAUGGAGGAACAAAUUCUUCCUGAGCAGCGCUGAUUUGUUGAGCAAGUAAUGAAUCGCGCUCCUUCUGAAGAUCUUCAUAACUCACUCUUAGCUUCUCAAGAUCUUGCUUUCUUUGAAGAAAUUCAUAAGAAAGCUUCUCAUGAUCAGAUAAGAGAGUGUUAUGAUGACCUUGAAGGUUGUCAAAUCUAGACUGAAAUCUCUGAAGAUUUUCAGUCAAGGUUUUAGUGCGAUCCAUUUCUUCACCCAACAUAUCAUCACUUUUUAUCUAGCAUGUUUUGAAACUUUUCCAAGGCCUUUUGUUGUUUAGUGGCAAUACAAACAAGCUUGGUAUAGCUAGGUCCAAAAUCAUCAUCGGAUUCAUCAUCACUAGACUCGGAUGAGGAACAUUCGGUUACCUUGGCACCUUUUGCCAUGAGGCAUGGUGGAGAAGAUGAUAGUUCAGGUUCGAAAGUCAUCGUUUUGAGUGAUUCCUUGAAAUCCUCAAACCAGGGAUCAUGACAAGUUCGAUGACCUUCAUAGACGUCAGAGAUUCGGUCCCAGAUAAGCUUCACAUUGCAAAGAUGCAUAAUGCGCCUGAAUUCAUCUCUGGAUAGGCAGGAACAGAUGAUAUCCUUCGCCAUGAUGUCAAGUCGAGUGUACUUGCGAAUAUCAUCAGUGUCCGCCAUCUUGCAUAGAUCGGUAAGACCAAUCUCAGUGACGGUCCACAGCUCGCUGUUCAGUGCCAUGAGGCGCUUGCUCAUCAUGGCCUUCCACUUGGGAUAAUCAUGACCGUCAAAGAUGGGGCAUGUCACUUUCUUCAUACCUGCGGUCGACAUAACUAAAACUCCAGGCGGUUAAACCAAAAUCACACAGAACAAGGGAGUACCUUGCUAUGAUACCAAUUGAAAGUGCAUUAUAUCGAGUAGAGGGGGGGUGAAUAGGUGAUUUUUAUGAAUUCUUCACUGAGGAAUUUGCGGGUGAGGAAUUCCUUAGCGAAGAACUACUUGCAGCGGAAUAAGUACUCAAGAGUAAGCAUAGCAGAACAUAGGCAUGGUCAUCAUGAUGAAAUGAAGACAAACACAGAGUACAGAAAGCGUAAACACAGGAUAGCACAGGAUGAAGACAAACAGACUGAAGAAAUUGAACUGAGGAAAUUGAGAAAGUCUUCUGUCAAAGUCUUCAAACACAGAUAUGACAAGCACACAACACAGUAAUGAGGAAAUGAAAGAGUUGAGGAAAUAGAACCAGUAAGCUUGGUGAAGACAAUGAUUUGGUAGACCAGUUCCAACUACUGUCUCAGCUGUACAUCUGGUUGGAGCGGCUAGGUAUUUAAACCUGAGGACACACAGUCCCGGACACACAGUCCUCACUGUAUUCUCCUUGAACUAAGGUCACACAGACCUUGUCCAAUCACUCGUGGUAAGUCUUCAGGUGACUUCCGAACCUUCACAAACUCGGUCACUCGGCGAUCCACAAUUCCUCUUGGAUGCUCUAGACCAUGACGCCUAACCGUCUGGAAGAAGCACAGUCUUCAAAGAUAACAAGCGUCGGAUCCACGCAGGAUCAAUUUCUUCAGUGAUGCUCAAUCACUUUGGGUUUGUAGGUGUUUGGGUUUGGGUUUUCCUCACUUGAUGAUUUUCGCUCAAAGUCCUCGGAGGAUGGGAUGCUCUCAAAUGACAAAUGUCAGUUUCUCUCGGAGCAGCCAACCAGCUAGUGGUUGUACGGGGCGACUAUUUAUAGCCUAGGGAGCAGCCCGACAUGAUAAGACAUAAAUGCCCUUCAAUGAUAUGACCGUUAGGUGGGUAGAUAUUUUGGGACAGCUGGCGCAUAGCACAGCAAUGGUAGGAAAUUUCAGUAUCAAAUUCCUCAGGGCUAUCAUGUUCCUCACUGUGUAGGCAAUCCGCACUGGCGAAUUCCUAACUCCUCAGUCAGAACAAAUUCCUCAGAGACCAGAAGAACUUCGUCUCUGUAACUGAAGAAUAUGACUGAACUGUAUGAGAUUUCCAAUGGCUUCACUCGAAGGGAUUGGUAGGUGUAGGAUUUUGAGUUGAGCAUCAUAUGGAAAUUUUUCCUUAGUAUUUCCUCGACCCCCUUUAACAGUACGGUGUUUCCAAUGACUCAAGAAAGAGAAAAUGAAACUACGAAAACAAAAGUCUGCACGGUUCAUAUUCCUCAAAUGAAUACCAAGUCUUCAAGGUCACACCAAUUUCUUCACUUUCAAAGUCUUCAGAAAGUCUUCAGAAAUCCAUAGUCUCUAGUCGAAGAACUUCAUUUUUAGGGGUCGACUUUCUCUGUAAAUAUCAAACUCCUCAUAGACUUAUAGACCUGUGUACACUCAUAAACACAUUAAUCCCUUAACCUAUAAGUCUUCAAUACACCAAAAUCACUAAGGGGCACUAGAUGCACUUACAUCUAUCUUAGGGUAACGAGAGUCGAGGCGAACGUUGUCGCGAUAGCGACUACGGAAGCCCAGACGAGCACGCGACACCACUGCCACCCUGUCUUAGGGUAAUGCAAGUCGAGGCGGACGUCGUCGCAUUAGCGAUGCCGGGACACCGAGAUGAGCACGUGGCACCAAGGCCACCCUGUCUAUCUUACGGUAACGCGAGUCGAGGCGGACGUCGUCGUGGUAGCGACGACGGACGCCGCGACUAGCAUGUGACACCACUGCCACCCUUUCUAUCUGAGGGAAACGCGAGUCGACGUGGACGUCGUCGCGGUAGUGACAACGGACGCCGAGACGAGCACGUGACACCAUUGCCACCCUGUCUAUCUUAGGGUAACACUAGUCGAGGGGACGUCGCCGCGGUAGCGGCGACGGACGCCGAGACGAGCACGUGAUACCACUACCACCCUGUCUGUCUUAGGGUAAUGCGAGUCAAGGGGGACGUCGUUGCGGUAGCUACGACAGACGCCAAGACGAGCACGUGACACCACUGUCACCCUGUGUAUCUUAGGGUAACGCGGGUCGAGGCGGACAUCGUCGUGGUAGCGACGACGCAUGUCAAGACGAGCACGUGACACCAGUUCCACCCUGUCUUAGGGUAACGCAAGAGUCGAGGUGGAUGUCGUCGCGCUAGCGACGACGGACGCCGAGACGAGGACAUGAUGCCAGGACCACCCUGUCUAUAUUAGGGUAACGCGAGUCGAGGCAGACAUCGUCGCGGCAGUGACGACAGACGACGAGACGAGCACGUGACACCACAGCCAUCCUGUCUAUCUUAAGGUAACGCGAGUCGAGGCGGACGUCGUCGCGGUAGCGACGACGGACGCCGAGACCAGCACGUGACCCCACUACCAACAUGUCUAUAUUAGGGCAACGCGACUCGACACGGACGUCGUCUCGGUAGCGACGACGGACGCCGAGGCAAGCACGUGACACCACUGCCACCCUGCCUAUCUUAGGGUAACGCGAGUCGUGGCGGAUGUCGUCGUGGUAGCGACGACGGACACCGAGACUAGCACGUGACACCACUGCCACCCUGUCUUAGGGUAACGCGAGUCGAUGCGGAUGUCGUCGCGGUAGCAACGAUGGACGCCUAGACGAGCAUGUGACACCACUGCCACCCUCUCUUAGGGUAACGCGAGUAGAGGCGGAGGUCGUCGCGGAAGCAGCGACGGACGCGGAGGCGAGAACGUGACACCACUGCCACCCUGUCUUAGCGGAACGCGAGUCGAGGCGAACGUCGUCGCGAUAGCGACGACAGACGCCAAGACGAGCACGUGACACCACUGCCACCCUGUCUUAGGGUAACACGAGUCGAGGCGGACGUCGUCGCGUUAGCAACGAAGGACGCCGUGACGAGCACGUGACACCAGGGCCACCCUGUCUAUCUUAGGGUAACGGGAGUCGAUGCAGAAGUCGUCGCCGUAGCGAUGACGGACGCUGAGACGAGCACGUGACACCACUACCACCCUAUCUAUCAUCGGGUAACGCGAGUCGAGGCAAACGUCGUCGCGGUAGCGACGACAGACGCCAAGACGAGCACUUGACACCCUGGCCACCCUGUCUAUCUUAGUGUAACGCGAGUCGAGGCGAACGUCAUCGCAGUAGCGAGGACGGACGCCGAGACGAGCACGUGACACUACUGCCACCCUCUCUUAAAAGUCGAGGCGGACGUCGUCUAGCUUGUCACGUCAAAUUGACACAAAAAAUGUUCAUUUAAAAAAAAAUAUCAGAUAUUUCGGAAAAUGUUCUUGUUUUUAAGGAAAUUUCAGGAAUUCAAAAGUUGUUUAGUUCUAUAAAUAUGUUCUUGAUUUGAAUUUUUCUCAUUAAUUUUAAAAUAUGUUCAUAGUAGAUCAAUUUAAUGAACAUUUCGAUUCAACCAAAAAGAUGUAGAUCAAUUUAAUUCAGCAUGUUAAUUUUUGUUUAAUAAAAUUAUGUUCAUGGAAAGUAUUAAUCGAAAGGGAAUAGAGGAAUAGGCGAAUUUAUUUUUUUUCUGUGUAAAAGUAGCUAUUCAUUUUAGUUGAAAGUGCUAGUUCAUUUCAAUUAAAAGUGGGAUUUCCGGCCCAUUAGUGUCCGUGAAAAACUGCUGGCCCAGAAAGGGAAUAGGAAAACACAGGCCCAAAAGGAAAAAACGUGGAAAGGGAAUAGAGGCUAGGUGAGGUAUUGGGCCAAGGCUGGGCCGAACUCACAAAAAGUGGAGCUCUCAAGGCCGGAAUUGAUCACGAAAGGGAAUAGAAUGGGCGCAACCGUUCGCUAACUUUGUCGUUUGUUGUCGCAUCGAUCUGGUGCGAAAUGAGAGCUCCUAUGUGUCGCAUUUUACGGCAAAUUGCCACCAUAUCGCACAGGGGCGCCACCGAGUGGGCCGGCCCAUUAGCAGCACUGCAGCGAGCCAAUAAACGCACUGUAGCUAAAAACUGAGCGGCAUCGACCUCGCGACCUCUGGCUAUUGAAUGACUCUCGCUAGCCACUUGAGCUGAUGGCCCGUUGGUUAUUGUUAUACACCGCGAAAUACUAAAAGCACUACUCGGAGGAGCUGAUCAAACUUGUACUGUAGCGACCGGACUGUGUACUGUUACGACAUGAACAAGGCAAGGUAGAGUUUUUUUUAGAAGCUCCAAAUCUUUCUUUGAAAAACGUGAACAUUUUUUCAAAACACAAAUAAAACUUCAAAUUUCAAACAUUUUUCAAAACAGAUAAAAAAAGUAGAAACCACAAAAGUAUUUUGAAUUUGUGAACAUUUCUCCGAGAAAGGGAACAUUUUUUAAAUUCCGAACAAAUUUUGAAAGCCUGAACAUUAUUUGAAACUCCCCGAACAAUUUUUGAAUUUGUGAACAAAUUUUGAAAACGAGAACAUUUUUUGAAAUUGUGAACAAAAUUUUGAAACCACAAACAUUUUUUGAAAUUGGAAGCAAUUUUAGAAUUUGUGACUUUUUUUCAAAAUGAGAACUUUUUUGAAAUUCUGAAUUAUAUUUCAAAUUUUCAAAAAAGUUUCAAUAGAAAAAUAAACUUAAAAAAGAAAAAGAGAAAAAUGAAAAAGAAAACAAAACAAUAUUCAAAAAUUCAUGAACGUUGUUUUGAAAAUAUUUAGAAAAGAAGCGAACAAUUUUUGAAAUUUCUGAACAAAAUUUGAAAACAGGAACAUUUAAAAAAAAUAAGGAUCAUGUUUUGAAAUUCCCAAACAAUUUUGAAAUGCAAACAUUUUUUGAAUGUAGAAACAAAAUUUGAAAACAGGAACAUUUUCCAAAAUUUGAACUUUGUUUAGGAACCUGAAUAUUUCUAGAAAAAGAAAAAUGAAAUUGAAUAAAAAGGAAACGGAAAAAGAAAAAAAGAAAAAGAAAAACCUGACCACAAAGAAAUAGAAAAACGAAAAGAAAAGAAAAAACCGUAGAAAAGAAAAAAACCCGGUUCAGGAAACCUUCUGGAAGGUUCCCAAAGACGGAUUGGGUAGUGCCAAUACGAUCUACUCAAAUGGGCCGGCCCCGUCGUGUCGAUCGGCCGAUCGCCUGUGCGUUGCCCCGGCAACUUGCCGCAACGAGCGACAAACAGGAAAUUCCGUGCGAAAAAUCGAGUGCGCCUCUUAGGACGCGCGCUAGCGACGCCGCAUUGGAGUUCUCUCUAUACGUAUACUUGCUAGCGUUGAUCAAGCACGGAAAUAAGCGAGCUCACUUCUCUCUAUUAGCUAGCUAACACAAUAUAUGAAACCCCCUCUCCCUUCUUUCAAAACAAAAACAAAACCCCUGCUCCUGCCAGCUGCUGACGCGUGGAUGCCUUUUGGUACCGGUUGGUGUUACCAACCGGGACAAAAGGUGCUCCAGCCUAGGCACCUCGCAGCGGCCACGUGGAGCCCCUUGCGAAUCGGGACUAAAGGUUUUGGGCUUUAGUCCCAACCCUUUAGUCCCGGUUCCAGAACCGGGGUAAGGGGCCUCUGAAACCGGGACAAAUGGGCCGGUUUCUAUGAGUCGAAGCUCCAUCCUCCUUUCUAGUCCUCUGUUCCUUUUGUCAUAUCAGCUUUCAUCCAUCUCCCAUACUGUUGCACCUCACCUCUCCCAAGUCCAAUAGAACACGCCUUGUCCACGUGUCCAAUUAUACCACACGUGUAACAAAAAUCAGGGAGGUACUCAUACUCUAGGGGGCACCAUUUUUGCUCAUCAUCUUUCUUCUUUCUUUUAUCCACGUCCAUCACUUCUGCAGACUCCUUGUCUUCUCCCGUUCAAUAUCCAAAGUGAUUCCUCUCAACAGUGGCUUUGUAAUGUCUAGUCUAACUUUCAGAACUUCCAGCCACAUUAUCAUCAUCCCCCUGGUUACCUCCAUGAACUCGCCAGUCUCGUCACCAAUGAUACCUCCGUUUUCAUCACUCAUGAAACCGAGCGGCAUCUUGGUCACCCUGACCCAAAUAAGGAUGAUAGUGAACUCAUACUCUCCUAGCGUUUUAGCUGGGUCGAAAUCUACCAUCACAAUCAGGUCCUUUCCCACCAUCCAUGGCCCUUCCUCCAAUGCUUUCCUCUUCCCCGCUGCUUGCAAGAAGGUGAAAAGAAAGGUGUUGUCCUCUAACCCCUUGCACUUGAUUCCCUUGAUCGGACACCACACUCUUCCGAGGUAUUUGAUCAUACCUUCCACAUAUACUGGUUUCUCGGACAUAACCUUACCGAUCGCCUGUGGAUCUUCCGUUCCCGUUCUCCUCAACCCGCCUCUUCCGAUCUUGACUCCCUUCUUCUCUGCUUCUGGCAACCGCAACUUCUGCAUCAAACCUUCCACUUUCUCCAUUGUGUCGAGGACUUGCAUCGAUCUAUGGUUUACUAGGUGGUUGUAUUAUGAAUGAAUGCCCUAGCAACACUCGUAAGGCUUUUGGUGGAUGGGUGAGCGGUCUCGAGAUCAAUCCAGCAAGGAUCGCCAAGGCUAGGGGGAGAGUUUGCUGGCGUAGGCCAGAGACGGGGUCGCCUGAGGGGACUCUAGGGUUUACCAGGAGUCACCGCAGAAUCCCCUGGGAAUCGCCCAAGCGCCAAUCGUGGAACCGUCACCCAAGGACGGACGGGUUAAGGAUGAUAAUUAAAGCGGACUUUGAUAGAGAGACACGUGAGAAAUAGAGUGAUAGAGAGAGAUACGUGAAAAUUAAAGCGGUUUUAAUUUCUUUCUUUUCUGUAAUUAAAGAGAUACGCAUGAGAAAUAGAGAGAUAAGAGAGAUACGUGAGAAUUAAAGCUGUUUUAAUUUUUUCCGUUUCUAUAAUUAAAGAUCUGAUCUACACAGUUAUAAUCUUGACCCGCAAAAUCAACGGCCUCCAUUUUCUAUUUUUCUCUAAUUAAUGUGGGAAUUUCUUGGGAGUGCCUAUUAGUAUAGGUAUAUAUAUGUGCAAAAAAUCUCGACAUUAAUGAACAUAUAUCUGGUGCACUUGCAAUCUUUUGUAGUACAUUAAUGAAUAUUUAAAGUAUUUUCCAACUCUUGCUAUUUAUAGACUUGUCAUCCGUGUCUGCCACAUUUGGAGUCCAACUAUUUCCUACUGGAACCUUACACUCCACUAGAACUGAGUUUGUCAAGUAACAGAUAACCAAUAUGAGAGGGAGCAGCCUAGUGCAGGGGACGAUGAUAUUCUUCAUUGGAUGCCUUGUGCUUUGUGCACAGUGUAAGUAUAUAUCAUCAUCGUCUUUAGAAUCUUGUGUUAACUUCUUGCCACUAAUUCUUCGGAUCAGACAUACAUACACACACACAUCUGCGGUACUGCAUACUAAGGUUAAAUAUACUAUACAGGUGCUCUCGAUAAUAAGCAAAGGAUGGUCAACCAAGAUGAUCAUGCGGCGAACACAAGUACCAACGCUACCAUCAUCAACUCAACAUCUGUAGGCGAGAGCAAGAAAACCGAGAAAUUUUGCAGCCUCUUUCUCGUAUGUUAUUUCAACAUUGAGAUUCGUGCUGAGUGCUACUGUUGCGAGAAUAAGAAUGCCGACUGUUACAAGACGAAGAGUGAGUGCCUGCAGAAGUGCCAUUCCUACAACGGUUAAUGCCCACCUUCAUCGCGGUCUCUGGGAUAGAAUUCCAUAUGCUCGGAAAAUUUGUCCGUAGGUAAUAAAAGGCACCUUAUAUGGUUUGGGCAAUUAGGUCCCAAUUAAACAUUAGAUAGCCGGCAUGUUUCCGUGGAGAUCCAACAAGGAAAAAUUUGAUGAAAGAAAUCCGAGUAACUAGUUGUCUUGCAUAUUUACAAAGUUCAAAUCCUUUGGUUGUUGUGCUUUGACUCGAUUGUCUAUUAUGCCAUUUCAUUUACUUGCACAUUGCCCACUUGUUCAUUUAACACACAUCACCCACUUGGUGAUUUGCCAGUUGUGGGCUGACAGCCAUAUAGAUUUAUUUUUUUGAGAUCUCGUCAUAUAGAAUUGUAAUAGCACUGACAUGGAAAAGGUUAAAAACUGAAAAACUGAAAAAAGUAAAUCAAACAAACAAAUGGUGUGCAAACUAAAUCAGACGGCACAAGACAAGUGAGAUUUAGUCAGGACUCUUUCAGAUGAAGAUAAGCAAAUUGCAAGAAAACAACAUGCAGAAACAAUUUUAUAUCAUAGCAUAACAUGCAAAAAAGCACAUAUAUAGUACAACGACAACCCACGUGUCUAUAUGCUAUCUAUAUGUAUAUCUAUCUAUCUAUAUCUAUCUAUCUAUCUAUCUAUCUAUCCUUACUAAUAAAAGACGGAUCAUUUAUGCCCAUCCGUCUCAUGUUUUGCAACAAAAUACCCUACUUUUUUCUUUAAUUAACCCGCGGUCAAGGUUUAGGUGAGGUUCGUCCGUUGUUUUUUUUGCAAAGAACGAGGAAACGGUUGCGUUUUGUGAGAUUCAAACUCAUGAUGUCCCCUCCAUGCCCAAAAGCCACAGCCAACUGAGUUAGCAUGCACUUGUGCUACCAAAUAGGUCCAUUAUUUCAUUAAAUUGUCCAUCCUUGAUUCUUUGCAUGAGAAUACACAAAUUUAUAUGUGAUUGCAAAUUGCCUGGAAAUCAACAAGCCAACUCGAUAACCAAGAAAUAGAGGGAGAGGAGGAAUUCACUCAAUAAAUAGUGUUAACUAGCAGGGUUUCCCGCGCAUUUGUGCGGCUAGCUGACCCUUUCCGAUGCCAACUAUAUGGCCUUUCACUAAACUAUAUUUUGAUUAAAUUUACACCUUGUAUAUGUCAUCAUAGAAAAAAUGAAAAUCGUAAUGAAACAUGCAAGUGCAUCAGGUUGUUCAUUUUAAUAUAGAAGUGCAUUAGGUUUUUAAAUAAAUUCCUUGGCAUGUCAGGUUGCAACACAGAUAAAAAACCAUGUAUGGGAUUUCAUGCCAAUCUUGGUGUUUUUCCUGUGUGAUCACUCCUCCUUUGUAUCAUUUAAUAGGUUUUCAAGAAAUUCCCUACCAAGACUUAAAUCUAAACAUGAAAUUCUGGUAUGUAAAGGUCCCUUCUUCUAGUCAUACCAAUCAACGGACGCAUUCUUAACUACCUUUUCUUGAUUAAUGCCGCCUACCCACUUAUGUAUCAAGAGAUUCACAUCUUCUAUCGUGCUUAUUUUUUCUAUUGAUAAUAUUUUACAAAAUAUUAUCUUUGACUCACUCCCUUUUAAUUUCUGAAGACUUUGAAAGUGAAGAAAUUGGUGUGACCUUGAAGACUUGGUAUUCAUUCGAGGAACAUGAAGCGUGAAGACUUUUGUUUUAGUAGUUUCAUUUUCUCUUUCUUGAGUCAUAGGAAACACUGUACUGUUAAAGGGGGUCGAGUAAAUACUAAGGAAAAAUUUCCAAGUGAUGCUCAACUUAAAAUCCUACACCUACCAAUCCCUUCGAGUGAAGCCAUUGGAAAUCUCAUGCAGUUCAGUCAGUUUCUUCAGUGACAGAGACGAAGUACUUCUGGUCUCUGAGGAAUUUGUUCUGCCUAAGGAGUUAGGAAUUCGCCAGUGCGGAUUGCCUACAAGUGAGGAACAUGAUAGCCCUGAGGAAUUAGACACUCGAAAUUCCGACCGUUGCUGUGCUAUGCGCCAGCUGUCCCAAAAUAUCUUACCCACCUAACGGUCAUAUCAUUGAAGGGCAUUUAUGUCUUAUCAUGUAGGGCUGCUCCCUAGGCUAUAAAUAGCCGCCCCCUACAACGACUAUCUGGUUGGCUGCUCCGAGAGAAACCGACACUUGUCAUUUGAGAACAUCCCAUCCUCCGAGGACUUUAAGCGAAAAUCAUCAAGUGAGGAAAACCCAAACCCAAACACCUAAAAACCCAAAGUGAUUGAGCAUCACUAAAGAGAUUGAUCCUGCGUGGAUCCGACACUUGUUACCUUUGAAGAAUGUGCAUCUUCCAGAUGGUUAGGCGUCAUGGUCUAGAGCAUCCAAGAGGAAAUUGUUGAUCGCCGAGUGACCGAGUUUGUGAAGGUUUGGAAGUCACCUGAAGACUUACCACGAGUGAUUGGGCGAGGCUGUGUGACCGUAGCGAUGACGGACGCUGAGACGAGCACGUGACACCACUACCACCCUAUCUAUCAUCGGGUAACGCGAGUCGAGGCAAACGUCGUCGCGGUAGCGACGACAGACGCCAAGACGAGCACUUGACACCCUGGCCACCCUGUCUAUCUUAGUGUAACGCGAGUCGAGGCGAACGUCAUCGCAGUAGCGAGGACGAACGACGAGACGAGCACGUGACACUACUACCACCCUCUCUUAAAAGUCGAGGCGGACGUCGUCUAGCUUGUCACGUCAAAUUGACACAAAAAAUGUUCAUUUAAAAAAAAUAUCAGAUAUUUCGGAAAAUGUUCUUGUUUUAAAGGAAAUUUCAGGAAUUCAAAAGUUGUUUAGUUCUAUAAAUAUGUUCUUGAUUUGAAUUUUUCUCAUUAAUUUUAAAACAUGUUCAUAGUAGAUCAAUUUAAUGAACAUUUCGAUUCAACCAAAAAGAUGUAGAUCAAUUUAAUUCAGCAUGUUAAUUUUUGUUUAAUAAAAUUAUGUUCAUGGAAAGUAUUAAUCGAAAGGGAAUAGAGGAAUAGGCGAAUUUAUUUUUUUCUGUGUAAAAGUAGCUAUUCAUUUUAGUUGAAAGUGCUAGUUCAUUUCAAUUAAAAGUGGGAUUUCCGGCCCAUUAGUGUCCGUGAAAAACCGCUGGCCCAGAAAGGGAAUAGGAAAACACAGGCCCAAAAGGAAAAAACGUGGAAAGGGAAUAGAGGCUAGGUGAGGUAUUGGGCCAAGGCUGGGCCGAACUCACAAAAAGUGGAGCUCUCAAGGCCGGAAUUGAUCACGAAAGGGAAUAGAAUGGGCGCAACCGUUCGCUAACUUUGUGGUUUGCUGUCGCAUCGAUCUGGUGCGAAAUGAGAGCUCCUAUGUGUCGCAUUUUACGGCAAAUUGCCACCAUAUCGCACAGGGGCGCCACCGAGUGGGCCGGCCCAUUAGCAGCACUGCAGCGAGCCAAUAAACGCACUGUAGCUAAAAACUGAGCGCCCCCGUGGAGGCAUCGACCUCGCGACCUCUGGCUAUUGAAUGACUCUCGCUAGCCACUUGAGCUGAUGGCCCGUUGGUUAUUGUUAUACACCGCGAAAUACUAAAAGCACUACUCGGAGGAGCUGAUCAAACAUGUACUGUAGCGACCGGACUGUGUACUGUUACGACAUGAACAAGGCAAGGUAGAGUUUUUUUUAGAAGCUCCAAAUCUUUCUUUGAAAAACGUGAACAUUUUUUAAAAACACAAAUAAAAAUUCAAAUUUCAAACAUUUUUCAAAACAGAUAAAAAAAGUAGAAACCACAAAAGUAUUUUGAAUUUGUGAACAUUUCUCCGAGAAAGGGAACAUUUUUUAAAUUCCGAACAAAUUUUGAAAGCCUGAACAUUAUUUGAAACUCCCCGAACAAUUUUUGAAUUUGUGAACAAAUUUUGAAAACGAGAACAUUUUUUGAAAUUGUGAACAAAAUUUUGAAACCACAAACAUUUUUUGAAAUUGGAAGCAAUUUUGGAAUUUGUGACUUUUUUUCAAAAUGAGAACUUUUUUGAAAUUCUGAAUUAUAUUUGAAAUUUUCAAAAAAGUUCGAAUAGAAAAAUAAACUUAAAAAAGAAAAAGAGAAAAAUGAAAAAGAAAACAAAACAAUAUUCAAAAAUUCAUGAACGUUGUUUUGAAAAUAUUUAGAAAAGAAGCGAACAAUUUUUGAAAUUUCUGAACAAAAUUUGAAAACAGGAACAUUUAAAAAAAAUAAGGAUCAUGUUUUGAAAUUCCCAAACAAUUUUAAAAUGCAAACAUUUUUUGAAUGUAGAAACAAAAUUUGAAAACAGGAACAUUUUCCAAAAUUUGAACUUUGUUUAGGAACCUGAAUAUUUCUAGAAAAAGAAAAAUGAAAUUGAAUAAAAAGGAAACGGAAAAAGAAAAACCUGACCACAAAGAAAUAGAAAAACGAAAAGAAAAGAAAAAACCGUAUAAAAGAAAAAAAAACCCGGUUCAGGAAACCUUCUGGAAGGUUCCCAAAGCCGGAUGGGGUAGUGCCAAUACGAUCUACUCAAAUGGGCCGGCCUAGUCGUGUCGAUCGGCCGAUCGCCUGUGCGUUGCCCCGGCAACUUGCCGCAACGAGCGACAAACAAGAAAUUCCGUGCGAAAAAUCAAGUGCGCCUCUUAGGACGCGCGCUAGCGACGCCGCAUUGGAGUUCUCUCUAUACGUAUACUUGCUAGCGUUGAUCAAGCACGGAAAUAAGCGAGCUCACUUCUCUCUAUUAGCUAGCUAACACAAUAUAUGAAACCCCCUCUCCCUUCUUUCAAAAAAAAACAAAACCCCUGCUCCUGCCAGCUGCUGACGCGUGGAUGCCUUUUGGUACCGGUUGGUGUUACCAACCGGGACAAAAGGUGCUCCAGCCUAGGCACCUCGCAGCGGCCACGUGGAGCCCGUUGCGAAUCGGGACUAAAGGUUUUGGGCUUUAGUCCCAACCCUUUAGUCCCGGUUCCAGAACCGGGGCUAAGGGGCCUCUGAAACCGGGACAAAUGGGCCGGUUUCUAUGAGUCGAAGCUCCAUCCUCCUUUCUGGUCCUCUGUUCCUUUUCUCAUAUCAGCUUUCAUCCAUCUCCCAUACUGUUGCACCUCACCUCUCCCAAGUCCAAUAGAACACGCCUUGUUCACGUGUCCAAUUAUACCACACGUGUAACAAAAAUCAGGGAGGUACUCAUACUCUAGGGGGCACCAUUUUUGCUCAUCAUCUUUCUUCUUUCUUUUAUCCACGUCCAUCACUUCUGCAGACUCAUUGUCUUCUCCCGUUCAAUAUCCAAAGUGAUUCCUCUCAACAGUGGCUUUGUAAUGUCUAGUCUAACUUUCAGAACUUCCAGCCACAUUAUCAUCAUCCCCCUGGUUACCUCCAUGAACUCGCCAGUCUCGUCACCAAUGAUACCUCCGUUUUCAUCACUCAUGAAACCGAGCGGCAUCUUGGUCACCCUGACCCAAAUAAGGAUGAUAGUGAACUCAUACUCUCCUAGCGUUUUAGCUGGGUCGAAAUCUACCAUCACAAUCAGGUCCUUGCCCACCAUCCAUGGCCCUUCCUCCAAUGCUUUCCUCUUCCCCGCUGCUUGCAAGAAGGUGAAAAGAAAGGUGUUGUCCUCUAACCCCUUGCACUUGAUUCCCUUGAUCGGACACCACACUCUUCCGAGGGAUUUGAUCAUACCUUCCAUAUAUACUGGUUUCUCGGACAUAACCUUACCGAUCGCCUGUGGAUCUUCCGUUCCCGUUCUCCUCAACCCGCCUCUUCCGAUCUUGACUCCCUUCUUCUCUGCUUCUGGCAACCGCAACUUCUGCAUCAAACCUUCCACUUUCUCCAUUGUGUCGAGGACUUGCAUCGAUCUAUGGUUUACUAGGUGGUUGUAUUAUGAAUGAAUGCCCUAGCAACACUCGUAAGGCUUUUGGUGGAUGGGUGAGCGGUCUCGAGAUCAAUCCAGCAAGGAUCGCCGAGGCUAGGGGGAGAGUUUGCUGGCGUAGGCCAGAGACGGGGUCGCCUGAGGGGACUCUAGGGUUUACCAGGAGUCACCGCAGAAUCCCCUGGGAAUCGCCCAAGCGCCAAUCGUGGAACCGUCACCCAAGGACGGACGGGUUAAGGAUGAUAAUUAAAGCGGACUUUGAUAGAGAGACACGUGAGAAAUAGAGUGAUAGAGAGAGAUACGUGAAAAUUAAAGCGGUUUUAAUUUCUUUCUUUUCUGUAAUUAAAGAGAUACGCAUGAGAAAUAGAGAGAUAAGAGAGAUACGUGAGAAUUAAAGCUGUUUUAAUUUUUUCCGUUUCUAUAAUUAAAGAUCUGAUCUACACAGUUAUAAUCUUGACCCGCAAAAUCAACGGCCUCCAUUUUCUAUUUUUCUCUAAUUAAUGUGGGAAUUUCUUGGGAGUGCCUAUUAGUAUAGGUAUAUAUAUGUGCAAAAAAUCUCGACAUUAAUGAACAUAUAUCUGGUGCACUUGCAAUCUUUUGUAGUACAUUAAUGAAUAUUUAAAGUAUUUUCCAACUCUUGCUAUUUAUAGACUUGUCAUCCGUGUCUGCCACAUUUGGAGUCCAACUAUUUCCUACUGGAACCUUACACUCCACUAGAACUGAGUUUGUCAAGUAACAGAUAACCAAUAUGAGAGGGAGCAGCCUAGUGCAGGGGACGAUGAUAUUCUUCAUUGGAUGCCUUGUGCUUUGUGCACAGUGUAAGUAUAUAUCAUCAUCGUCUUUAGAAUCUUGUGUUAACUUCUUGCCACUAAUUCUUCGGAUCAGACAUACAUACACACACACAUCUGCGGUACUGCAUACUAAGGUUAAAUAUACUAUACAGGUGCUCUCGAUAAUAAGCAAAGGAUGGUCAACCAAGAUGAUCAUGCGGCGAACACAAGUACCAACGCUACCAUCAUCAACUCAACAUCUGUAGGCGAGAGCAAGAAAACCGAGAAAUUUUGCAGCCUCUUUCUCGUAUGUUAUUUCAACAUUGAGAUUCGUGCUGAGUGCUACUGUUGCGAGAAUAAGAAUGCCGACUGUUACAAGACGAAGAGUGAGUGCCUGCAGAAGUGCCAUUCCUACAACGGUUAAUGCCCACCUUCAUCGCGGUCUCUGGGAUAGAAUUCCAUAUGCUCGGAAAAUUUGUCCGUAGGUAAUAAAAGGCACCUUAUAUGGUUUGGGCAAUUAGGUCCCAAUUAAACAUUAGAUAGCCGGCAUGUUUCCGUGGAGAUCCAACAAGGAAAAAUUUGAUGAAAGAAAUCCGAGUAACUAGUUGUCUUGCAUAUUUACAAAGUUCAAAUCCUUUGGCUGUUGUGCUUUGACUCGAUUGUCUAUUAUGCCAUUUCAUUUACUUGCACAUUGCCCACUUGUUCAUUUAACACACAUCACCCACUUGGUGAUUUGCCAGUUGUGGGCUGACAGCCAUAUAGAUUUAUUUUUUUGAGAUCUCGUCAUAUAGAAUUGUAAUAGCACUGACAUGGAAAAGGUUAAAAACUGAAAAACUGAAAAAAGUAAAUCAAACAAACAAAUGGUGUGCAAACUAAAUCAGACGGCACAAGACAAGUGAGAUUUAGUCAGGACUCUUUCAGAUGAAGAUAAGCAAAUUGCAAGAAAACAACAUGCAGAAACAAUUUUAUAUCAUAGCAUAACAUGCAAAAAAGCACAUAUAUAGUACAACGACAACCCACGUGUCUAUAUGCUAUCUAUAUGUAUAUUUAUCUAUCUAUAUCUAUCUAUCUAUCUAUCUAUCUAUCCUUACUAAUAAAAGACGGAUCAUUUAUGCCCAUCCGUCUCAUGUUUUGCAACAAAAUACCCUACUUUUUUCUUUAAUUAACCCGCGGUCAAGGUUUAGGUGAGGUUCGUCCGUUGUGUUUUUUGCAAAGAACGAGGAAACGGUUGCGUUUUGUGAGAUUCAAACUCAUGAUGUCCCCUCCAUGCCCAAAAGCCACAGCCAACUGAGUUAGCAUGCACUUGUGCUACCAAAUAGGUCCAUUAUUUCAUUAAAUUGUCCAACCUUGAUUCUUUGCAUGAGAAUACACAAAUUUAUAUGUGAUUGCAAAUUGCCUGGAAAUCAACAAGCCAACUCGAUAACCAAGAAAUAGAGGGAGAGGAGGAAUUCACUCAAUAAAUAGUGUUAACUAGCCGGGUUUCCCGCGCAUUUGUGCGGCUAGCUGACCCUUUCCGAUGCCAACUAUAUGGCCUUUCACUAAACUAUAUUUUGAUUAAAUUUACACCUUGUAUAUGUCAUCAUAGAAAAAAUGAAAAUCGUAAUGAAACAUGCAAGUGCAUCAGGUUGUUCAUUUUAAUAUAGAAGUGCAUUAGGUUUUUAAAUAAAUUCCUUGGCAUGUCAGGUUGCAACACAGAUAAAAAACCAUGUAUGGGAUUUCAUGCCAAUCUUGGUGUUUUUCCUGUGUGAUCACUCCUCCUUUGUAUCAUUUAAUAGGUUUUCGAGAAAUUCCCUACCAAGACUUAAAUCAAAACAUGAAAUUCUGGUAUGUAAAGGUCCCUUCUUCUAGUCAUACCAAUCAACGGACGCAUUCUUAACUACCUUUUCUUGAUUAAUGCCGCCUACCCACUUAUGUAUCAAGAGAUUCACAUCUUCUAUCGUGCUUAUUUUUUCUAUUGAUAAUAUUUUACAAAAUAUUAUCUUUGACUCACUCCCUUUUAAUUUCUGAAGACUUUGAAAGUGAAGAAAUUGGUGUGACCUUGAAGACUUGGUAUUCAUUCGAGGAACAUGAAGCGUGAAGACUUUUGUUUUAGUAGUUUCAUUUUCUCUUUCUUGAGUCAUAGGAAACACUGUACUGUUAAAGGGGGUCGAGUAAAUACUAAGGAAAAAUUUCCAAGUGAUGCUCAACUUAAAAUCCUACACCUACCAAUCCCUUCGAGUGAAGCCAUUGGAAAUCUCAUGCAGUUCAGUCAGUUUCUUCAGUGACAGAGACGAAGUACUUCUGGUCUCUGAGGAAUUUGUUCUGACUGAGGAGUUAGGAAUUCGCCAGUGCGGAUUGCCUACAAGUGAGGAACAUGAUAGCCCUGAGGAAUUAGACACUCAAAAUUCCGACCGUUGCUGUGCUAUGCGCCAGCUGUCCCAAAAUAUCUUACCCACCUAACGGUCAUAUCAUUGAAGGGCAUUUAUGUCUUAUCAUGUAGGGCUGCUGCCUAGGCUAUAAAUAGCCGCCCCCUACAACCACUAUCUGGUUGGCUGCUCCGAGAGAAACCGACACUUGUCAUUUGAGAGCAUCCCAUCCUCCGAGGACUUUAAGCGAAAAUCAUCAAGUGAGGAAAACCCAAACCCAAACACCUAAAAACCCGAAGUGAUUGAGCAUCACUAAAGAGAUUGAUCCUGCGUGGAUCCGACACUUGUUACCUCUGAAGAAUGUGCAUCUUCCAGACGGUUAGGCGUCAUGGUCUAGAGCAUCCAAGAGGAAAUUGUUGAUCGCCGAGUGACCGAGUUUGUGAAGGUUUGGAAUUCACCUGAAGACUUACCACGAGUGAUUGGGCGAGGCUGUGUGACCGUAGCUCAAGGAGAAUACGGUGAGGACUGUGUGUCCGGGACUAUGUGUCCUCAGGUUUAAAUACCUAGCCGCUCCAACCAGACGUACAACUGUCAUAGCAGUUGGAACUGGUCUACCAAAUCAUUGUCUUCACCAACCCUACUGGUUCUAUUUCCUCAACUCUUUCAUUUCCUCAUUACUGUGUUGUGUGCUUGUUCAUAUCUUUUUGAAGACUUUGACUGAAGACUUUCUCAAUUUCCUCAGUUUAAUUUCUUCAGUCUGUUUUGUCUUCAUCAUGUUUUAUCCUAUGCUUACGCUUCCUGUACUCUGUGUCUGUUUUCGUUUCAUCAUGAUGACCAUGUUUAUGUUAUGUCAUGUAUGGAUCUGAGUACUUAUUCCGCUGAAGUAGUUCUUCGCUAAGGAAUUUCCUCACCCUGAAAUUCCUCAGUGAAGAAUUCAUAAAAAUCGCCUAUUCACGCCCCCUCUAGUUGACUUAACGAACUUUCAUCGUCACAUUAGCAACGCCGCACGCCGAGACGAGCACGUGACACCAAGGCCACCCUAUCUAUCUUACGGUAACGCGAGUCGAGGCGAAUGUCGCCGCGGUAGCGACGACGGACGCCGAGACGAGUACGUGACACCACUGCCACCCUGUCUAUCUUAGGGCAACGCGACUAGACGCGGACGUUGUCGCGGUAGCGAUGAAGGACGCCGAGACGAGCACGUGACACCAUUGCCCCAGUCUAUCUUAGGGUAACGCGAGUCGAGGCGGAUGUCGUCGCGGUAGCGGCGAUGGACGCCGAGACGAGCACGUGACACCACUGCCACCCUGUCUAUCUUAGGGUAAUGCGAGUCGAGGGGGAUGUCGUUGUGGUAGCGACGACGGACGCCAAGACGAGCAUGUGACACCACUGCCACCCUGUGUAUCUUAGGGUAACGCGGGUCGAGGCGGACAUCGUCGCGGUAGCGGCAACGCACACUGAGACGAGCACAUGACACCACUGCCACCCUGUCUUAGGGUAACGCAAGUGUCGAGGCGGACGUCGUCGCGGUAGCGACGACGAACGCCAAGACGAGGACAUGACGCUAGGGCCACCUUGUCUAUCUUAGGGUAACGCGAGUCGAGGCGGACGUCGUCGCGGUAGCGACGACGGACGACGAGACGAGCACGUGACACCACUGCCACCCUGUCUAUCUUAGGGCAACGCGACUCGACUGCCAUGUGAUAUAGGUCAGAACUUUUCUGAAUACUUAGUGUCGCCAUGUGAUCCAGACGAAUAAUUAAGAAAGUAUAUAAUUUUACAACCAUGGAUACGCGAGUCGAGGCGGACGUCGUCCCGAUAGUGAUGGCGGACGCCGAGAUGAGCACGUGGCACCACUGCCACCCUGUCUUAGGGUAACGCGAGUCGAGGCGGACGUCGGCGCAUUAGCGACGACGGACGCCGACACGAGCACGUGACACCAGGGCCACCCUGUCUAUCUUACGGUAACACGAGUCAAGGAGGACGUCGUUGUGGUAGCGACGACGGACGCCGAGACGAGCACGUGACACCACUGUCACCCUGUCUAUCUUAGGGCAACGCGAAUCGACGCGGACGUCGCCACGGUAGCGACGACGGACGUCGAGACGAGCACGUGACACCACUGCCACCAUGUCUAUCUUAGGGUAACGAGAGUCGAGGCGAACAUCAUCGCAGAUGCGACGAUGGAUGCCGAGACGAGCACGUGACACCACUACCACCCUAUCUUAGCGUAAUGAGAGUUGAGGUGGACGUUGUCGCGAUAGCGACUACGGAAGCCGAGAUGAGCACGUGACACCACUGCCACCCUGUCUUAGGGUAAUGCGAGUCGAGGCAGACGUCGUCGCAUUAGCAACGCCGGACCGCGAGAUGAGCACGUGACACCAAGGCCACCCUGUCUAUCUUACGCUAACGCGAGUCGAGGCGGACGGCGUCGCGGUAGCGACGACGGACGCCGAGACGAGCAUGUGACACCACUGUCACCCUAUCUAUCUUAGGGAAACGUGAGUCGACGCGGACGUCGUCGUGGUAGNNNNNNNNNNNNNNNNNNNNNNNNNNNNNNNNNNNNNNNNNNNNNNNNNNNNNNNNNNNNNNNNNNNNNNNNNNNNNNNNNNNNNNNNNNNNNNNNNNNNNNNNNNNNNNNNNNNNNNNNNNNNNNNNNNNNNNNNNNNNNNNNNNNNNNNNNNNNNNNNNNNNNNNNNNNNNNNNNNNNNNNNNNNNNNNNNNNNNNNNNNNNNNNNNNNNNNNNNNNNNNNNNNNNNNNNNNNNNNNNNNNNNNNNNNNNNNNNNNNNNNNNNNNNNNNNNNNNNNNNNNNNNNNNNNNNNNNNNNNNNNNNNNNNNNNNNNNNNNNNNNNNNNNNNNNNNNNNNNNNNNNNNNNNNNNNNNNNNNNNNNNNNNNNNNNNNNNNNNNNNNNNNNNNNNNNNNNNNNNNNNNNNNNNNNNNNNNNNNNNNNNNNNNNNNNNNNNNNNNNNNNNNNNNNNNNNNNNNNNNNNNNNNNNNNNNNNNNNNNNNNNNNNNNNNNNNNNNNNNNNNNNNNNNNNNNNNNNNNNNNNNNNNNNNNNNNNNNNNNNNNNNNNNNNNNNNNNNNNNNNNNNNNNNNNNNNNNNNNNNNNNNNNNNNNNNNNNNNNNNNNNNNNNNNNNNNNNNNNNNNNNNNNNNNNNNNNNNNNNNNNNNNNNNNNNNNNNNNNNNNNNNNNNNNNNNNNNNNNNNNNNNNNNNNNNNNNNNNNNNNNNNNNNNNNNNNNNNNNNNNNNNNNNNNNNNNNNNNNNNNNNNNNNNNNNNNNNNNNNNNNNNNNNNNNNNNNNNNNNNNNNNNNNNNNNNNNNNNNNNNNNNNNNNNNNNNNNNNNNNNNNNNNNNNNNNNNNNNNNNNNNNNNNNNNNNNNNNNNNNNNNNNNNNNNNNNNNNNNNNNNNNNNNNNNNNNNNNNNNNNNNNNNNNNNNNNNNNNNNNNNNNNNNNNNNNNNNNNNNNNNNNNNNNNNNNNNNNNNNNNNNNNNNNNNNNNNNNNNNNNNNNNNNNNNNNNNNNNNNNNNNNNNNNNNNNNNNNNNNNNNNNNNNNNNNNNNNNNNNNNNNNNNNNNNNNNNNNNNNNNNNNNNNNNNNNNNNNNNNNNNNNNNNNNNNNNNNNGCGUCGCGCUAGCGACGACGGACGCCGAGACGAGCACAUGACACCAAUACCACCAUGUCUAUCUUAGGGAAACGCGAGUCGACGCGGAUGUCGUCGUGGUAGCGACGCGGACACCGAGGCAAGCACGUGACACCACUGCCACCCUGUCUAUCUUAGGGUAACACGAGUCGUGGCGGAUGUCGUCGUGGUAGCGACGACGGACGCCGAGACUAGCACGUGACACCACUGCCACCCUGUCUUAGGGUAACGCGAGGCGAUGCGAAUGUCGUCGCGGUAGCGACGAUGGACUCCUAUACGAGCAUGUGACACCACUGCCACCCUCUCUUAGGGUAACACGAGUAGAGGCGGAGGUCGUCGCGGAAGCGGCGACGGAUGCCUAGGCGAGAACGUGACACCACUGCCACCUUGUCUUAGCGUAACGCAAGUCGAGGCGGACGUCGUCCCGAUAGCGACGACGGACGCCACGGCGAGCACGUGACACCACUGCCACCCUUUCUUAGCGGAACACGAGUCGAGGCGGACGUCGUCGCGAUAGCGAUGACGGACGCCAAGACGAGCAUGUGACACCGCUGCCACCCUGUCUUAGGGUAACACGAGUUGAGGCGGACGUCGUCCCGUUAGCAACGACGGACGCCGUGACGAAAGUGGAGCGCUCAAGGCCGGAAUCGACCGCGAAAGGGAAUAGAAUGGGCGCAACCAUUCGCUAACUUUGUCGUUUGCUGUCGCAUCGAUCUGGUGUGAAAUGAGAGCUCCUAUGUGUCGCAUUUUGCGGGGCGCCACCGAGUGGGCCGGCCCAUUAGUAGCACUGCAGCAAGCCAAUAAACGCACUGUAGCUAAAAACUGAGCGCCCCGUGGGGACGGACGCCGAGACGAGCACGUGACACCACUGCCACCCUGUCUUAAAAGUCGAGGCGGACGUCGUCUAGCAUGUCAUGUCAAAUUGACACAAAAAAUGUUCAUUUAAAAAAAAUAUUAGAUAUUUCAGAAAAUGUUCUUGUUUUUCAGGAAAUUUCAGGAAUUCAAAAGUUGUUUAUUUCUACAAAUUUGUUCUUGAUUUGAAUUUUUUCUCAUUAAUUUUAAAACAUGUUCAUAGUAGAUCAAUUUAAUGAACAUUUCGAUUCAACCAAAAAGCUGUAGAUCAAUUUAAUUCAGUAUGUUAAUUUAUGUUUAAUAAAAUUAUGUUCAUGAAAAGUAUUAAUCGAAAGGGAAUAGAGGAAUAUGCGAAUUUAUUUUUUGUGUGUAAAAGUAGCUAUUCAUUUUAGUUGAAAGUGCUAGUUCAUUUCAAUUAAAAGUGGGAUUUCCGGCCCGUUAUUGUCCCUGAAAAACCACUGGCCCAGAAAGGGAAUAGGAAAACACAGGCCCAAAAGAAAAAAACAUGGAAAGGGAAUAGAGGCUAGGUGAGGUAUUGGGCCAAGGCUGGGCCGAACUCAUGAAAAGUGGAGCGCUCAAGGCCGGAAUCGAUCACGAAAGGGAAUAGAAUGGGCGCAACCAUUCGCUAACUUUGUCGUUUGCUGUCGCAUCGAUCUGGUGCGAAAUGAGAGCUCCUAUGUGUCGCAUUUUGCGGGGCGCCACCGAGUGGGCCGGCCCAUUAGCAGCACUGCAGCGAGCCAAUAAACGCACUGUAGCUAAAAACUGAGCGCCCCCGUGGGGGGAGCGAACUAGCGACCUCUGGCUACUGAAUGACUCUCGCUAGCCACUUGAGCUGAUGACCCGUUGGUUAUUGUUAUACACCGCAAAAUACUAAAAGCACUACUGGGAGGAGCAGAUCAAACAUGUACUGUAGCGACCGGACCGUGUACUGUAACGACACGAACAAGGCAAGGUAGAGUUUCUUUUAGAAGCUCCAAAUCUUUCUUUGAAAAACAUGAACAUUUUUUAAAAAUACAAAUAAAAUUUCAAAUUUCAAACAUUUUUCAAAACAGAUAAAAAAUUUAGAAAACCACAAAAGUAUUUAGAAUUUGUGAACAUUCUUUUGAAAAAGGGAACAUUUUUUAAAUUCCGAACAAAUUUUGAAAGCCUGAACAUUAUUUGAAACUCCCCGAACAAUUUUUGAAUUUGUGAACAAAUUUUGAAAACGAGAACAUUUUUUGAAAUUGUGAACAAAUUUUUUAAACCACAUACAUUUUUUGAAAUUGUAAACACUUUUUGAAUUUGUGAAAAUAUUUCAAAAUGAGAACAUUUUUUGAAAUUCUGAAUUAUAUUUGAAAUUUUCAAAAAAGUUCGAAUAGAAAAAUAAACUUAAAAAAUAAUAAGAGAAAAAUGAAAUAGAAAACAAAAAAAUAUUCAGAAAUUCAUGAACGUUGUUUUGAAAAUAUUUAGAAAAGAAGCCAACAAUUUUUGAAAUUUCUGGACAAAAUUUGAAAACAGGAACAUUUUUGGAAAUUCCGAAACAAUUUUAAAAUGCAAACAUUUUUUGAAUGUAGAAACAAAAUUUGAAAAAAGGAACAUUUUCCAAAUUUUGAACUUUUUUUAGGAAUCUGAAUAUUUCUAGAAAAAGAAAAAUGAAAUUGAAUAAAAAGAAAACGGAAAAAGAAAAAGAAAAACCUGACCACAAAGAAAUAGAAAAAAAGAAAAGAAAAGAAAAGAAAAAACCGUAGAAAAGAAAAAAACUGGUUCAGGGAACCUUCUGGAAGGUUCCCAAAACCAGAUGGGGUAGUGCCAACGCGAUCUACUCAAAUAGGCUGGCCCAGUCGUGUUGGUCGGCCGAUCGCCUGUGCAUUGCCCUGGCAACUUGCCGCGACGAGCGGCAAAUAGGAAAUUCCGUGCGAAAAAUCGAGGGCGCCUCUUAGGACGCGCGCGCUAGUGACGCCGCAUUGGAGUUCUCUCUAUACGGAUACUUGCUAGCGUUGACCAAGCACGGAAAUAAGCGAGGUCACUUCUCUCUAUUAGCUAGCUAACACAAUAUAUGAAACCCCCUCUCCCUUCUUUAAAAAAAACCAAAACCCCUGCUCCUGCUAGCUGCUGACGCGUGGAUGCCUUUUGGUACCGGUUGCUGUUACCAACCGGGACUAAAGGUGCUCCUGCCUAGGCGCCCCGCAGCGGCCACGUGGAGCCCCUUCUGUCCCGGUUCAUAAGCGAACCGGGACUAAAGGUUUUGGGCUUUAGUCCCGAACCUUUAGUCCCGGUUCCAGAACCGGGGCUAAAACUACAAAAAAAAUACACUUCCGUGGUGAUACACGUUUGUCACAGUAGGUCGCAUUUUCUGUCAUGCAUGUACAUCCAUGACGAUUUUAUGACAGAAUCAAGGUAGUCAUACCUGUGCUGUCGUAGAAGUGUUCCAUGACAUUACCAAAAUUAUCAUCACGGAAAUGUCCACUUCCAUGACGAUAAAUCCCGCGUCACAGAAGUGCUUUCGUCAAGGGUGACCGACACGUGGCAUCCACCGUAACGGAACGCCGUUAAGCUAUCGGGUCGGGUUUUGGAUCCGAUAACCCGUUAACAACCCCGACCAAUGGGGAUUUUCCACGUGUAAAAUCAUCAUUGGCUGGAGGAAACACGUGUCGGCUCAUCGUUGGGACAGAUGUCAUCCACUCAAUGGACAGAAGGCGCCUAUGAUACGUCGACACGUGGCACGGCCCAACAGAGGCCCAUUCCUGUGAAAAGGCCGGCCCGUUUGACUUGGUCAAAAGGUGGCGGGCCGGCCCAUGUAAAGCCUGUUAACUGCCUGUUCGCAUAUAGCCCAUUUACAGCCCGCUAACCCAAGGCCCGUUACGCCCUAUCCGAAUUAGGCCCAGUAGCGUCAUCUGGGCCACCCAAUAUGAUUCCAGCCCGUUUUCACUUCUGGCCCAUGUAUGGCCCAUGACGUCUUUCGGCCCAUAUGAGGCCCUAUGUAACUCUUGGCCUAUUAACGGCCCGUGGUGAAACUGGCCCGUAAUGAACAGUGUAUCACUUUACACCCAUUAACGGCCCGUGGUGAAACUGGCCCGUAAUGAACAGUGUAUCACUUUAUACCCAUUAACGGCCCGUUAUCCCGUUGGGCCGUUUCCAUCCCAUGUUAUCUUUCGGCCUUCUCAGAGCCCAUUUAUUCUUGGGCUCAUUUACAGCAUUCGUUUACUUAUGGCCCGUUACUGUCAUUUUCUGCUUGUGGGCCAAAUUCAGCCCGUGGUUACAGUCCGCCCGUUUGUGGUCCGUUAAUACGUUGGGCCGUUUUCAUAGCGUCAUCAAAUACGGCCUAUUAACGAUGGUCCGUUAUGGUCGGCCCAUGAACGGACGAUUCCAACUCUAGCCCGUUUACGGCCAUAAUGCGGCAUGUUAUUGGCCCAGGUUUGGCCAAUCGAUCAUACUGCCCGUAUAAGGCCCAUUGAUGAUACGGCCCGUAGAAGGCCCAUUGUUUCUACGGCCCAUAGAAGGCCCAUUGUUUCUACGGCCCGUAGAAGGCCCACUGUUUCUAUGGCCCGUAGAAGGCCCACUGUUUCUACGGCCCGUAGGAGGCCCAGUGUCACUACAGUAAAUAUUAGCCCAUGGUUAUUGUGGCCUAGUUUUAAAAAAUAGGCUAUUGCAGCCACUAGCAAACCGCGGAAAAAGAACUGCAAUGACUGCAAGCAAACAAAUAAACAAGACAACAAGGAAAUAAACAAGCAAGCAACUUAUGCUAGGCUAUCACACAUAUUACAUCCACUGGGCAUCAAAGUUCGCCACCAGUGCAAAUAAACGCGCCGACAAAAGAAUAUACAAAACUGAGAGCACUUCAGGAGGCACUAGGCCUGGCCAUGUCGGGCCCCCCAAACAGCCGAAGAAGCUGAGUAGACCUCGGUUGUGUCAACGAUAGAUGCAUCAACACUAGAUUUAAGGCAUGAUGGUGCGCAUGGCAGUCCUCUGACAUCUUCAUUGCAUCUUUGACUUCAAGUCGGAGCUGAGCUGAAGCAAGCCUUUCCGCUUUAAGUUGAGACUGAAGAAGUCGAACUGAUUGAGGCAGCGACUGCACAGAGGUUGUCUCACACCUGCUGGUGAGUAGCUUCAACUCACUGUCUUCAUCAAGACAGGACCUCGGGGUCAUCUCGCUGUCCUCAAGAUGGUUUGGCUCACUAUCUUCCCUAAAGUUCUGCCUGGCGUAAGAGAUACGAGUCUGAAAGAGAAACAAGGAGACACGUAACAGGUUUCACAAUUAUAUAAGCAAAUAAAUGGAUCUGUUCUGCAUAAGGAACAUGUUUUUACAACUACAAUUUGAAACUGGUAGUUGUUGCAAACAUCCAAUCAGAUGUAAACAGCAAAGCAAACAGCAGUGGAGGAAAUGAUGCCUAUCCAAAUCUAUACUAGAACAAAGUUUGAAGGCUUGAGAAGGAUGAACUUACAUUACAUGUUAACACGGGCUGGACAAAGUCCUUCUCCAUGUUGAUGGAAGGAUAAUUCAAUAAAUUCCCCAAAGAAAAUUCUUUAUAAGCGUUGCCAUUAUUCUACAUUUUGCAAAGAGUAAAUAUAGAUCAAAUAAUAUUGGAAGAAACAGAGGAUAAUGAAGCUCAGGUGCAGACUGAUGAUACAUAAUCAAAUAGCAAUUAAUUAAGUACAACGUUACAAGGCAAAAGGGAGAGAGGUACUGACAAGAGCAAUGCAGAGCCCAUUAUUGUUUUGAGAUUGUAUGAUCCUUUGAGCAAGGAGAUUCAUCUGAAAUUAGUUUUCAUACAAGAGAGAAGGUAAGGCACAAGAAAAAUUUAGGAGUUCAAAUUUUGAAUUGAUAUCAUAGACAGUACCUGACGCUGGGCUCCCAGCAGUUCUAAUAGGGGUUUGGCCACUGGAGUAGGGGUAAAGUGUGGUACAGUUGGGCCUGUGUUUUCUGUGGCUGCUGAUCUAUCUGAUUUAACAGGUAUCACUACCUUUUCCAAAUACCUAGUUUGUACUCCUUGAGGAUCUGCACUCACCCUCUUCCUUUUGGAAAUCUAUUACGAAAGAACAACAUUUGACUGGAAAAACAUAGUGUGACGAGACAUGGAAUAGGUACAGAAAAUGGAUAGGUAUGGCAUAUACUCAUAUAUGAUGCUUAAACUAAGCAGAUGGUGUAACAAAGUAGAAGUAAUGCAAGCGGUCAGAUGCAAAAUAUGCGCGACCAAUACAACUUUGCAAAGUUAGAGCAAGCACCUUGAUGGGUGAAUAAGAUAGGCCAUCCUCCACCAUGCCAAGUUUGUUAGCCAGUGAAUCGUUCCGCAAUAUUCCUCUCAUGCGCCCAUUCUCAUAUUCAUUUUGAUAAUGUUCAAUAUCUGACAUGCAUGAAAACAUAAAAACAAGUGAGAUUUUCUUUGUAAUGCAGAAGUGAUUCUAAUCCAAUACUGCCUCCCUGUAAACCCCUUUGUGCUAUCUCUGCAAUUCUUUUAAAAGAUGCCAUGCAUGCUGUAAUUUGUUGUGUGCAUUAAUAUAAUGUCGCCUACUACUCAAAAUAUGAGAGCUCCAGAAGUGAUGACACUUCGCAGAUGAUAGCUUCAACAUAUAGUAAAGAAGAACAAGUCGACCUGACCUGACAUAUUCAAAAUAUACUAAGGGAGAACAACUCGACCUGACCAGUCGACCGCAAGGGAAGAGUAUCAUCUUAAAGAAGAGCAGAAGAGCAAGCAGAUUGAAGAUAUUACAAGUCUUUCAAUACAAUGUCGGUUGGCCACCCAUGAUGAACCAGAGCGCACAGAGAAAUACUAUUCUUUCUGGUCUCUCCAUAUGUGGCUCACAUGCAUUUCGAAACUAAAGAAGGAACAUUUAGCUAACCAAUUAAACAUCUCUCAGUUUUACUAAUAUCAGCAAUAAUAUCAUAUAUGAAUUUGUACAACUAAGCUUUUUUAGCUCGAUGGGUGGAGCAGUGCUAUUACGACACGAACCACGUAGGCUGAUUGUGGUCAUCAUAAAAUGGGGAAAACAUAAGCAUGAUGAGUACAGUGUUGACCGUGGCAGUGGGAUGGCAGAUCUGAAGCUGCAAACCGCGCAAAGGGUAGUUAGCAACCGAUGUUUGCUUUGAAAUAACAACUAAGAUUUGGUAUGGACAAGAAAGUACGGUCAACAAGUGACAAAGAAAUGCAAUUAUGCUGUCUCUCUAUAUGUCGCGACAUGCAUUUGGAAACUCAAGUGGGACCUUUAGCUAACCAAUUAAAUGUGUCGGUUAACUAAUAUCAGUAUCAUAUCACAAUCAUAUUUGAACAACUAAGCUUUCGAAUUCUGAGUGUUGUGUUGUUUAGCUUGAAGGGUGGAGUAAUGCUAGUACGACAGAAAGGACCUACGCAGAUCAGAGUAGAGUAGAUAAAAGGGGAAAACCCUAAGCAUCAAGAGAAAAAUCAGGAAAGUGGAACUAGCUGGACCAGUGGGUGGCGCACAUGCUUUUUGAAACGAAUAUAGGAACAUUAGGUGACCAAUUAAACGUUCUCUGUUUUAGUAAUAUGAGCAUCAUAUCAGAUUCGUAUUUCAACACGUAAGCUUUGGGUUGAGGUCUUGAGGAGCAGUGCUAGCACGACACGAAGCACCUACGAUGAUGGUAGUGAAUAUAAAGGGGGGAAACCAUAAGCUUUACGAGUAUAGUGCCCGUGCCAUGGAGGAUCUGAAGGUGCAAACCGGACAAAGCUACUUCACAACCAAUGUUUGCUUUCAACUAGCCACUAUGAUUUGGUACGGACAAGAAAAGUAAAGUAAACAAAUUACGGUCUAUUUUCCGGGUGAGAUCAAUAACUUAAGCACAUAUGGAAGAGUACCACCUCUCUUGCGACGCCGUGUAGGCCUAUGCUGAUACGUUGAGGGUGCUGCGGGUGCGAUGGCUAUCGGCGGCGGGGAAGAAGACUUUAGACGGCAGACGACCGGGUCAGGGGAUAUAUCCUGUUGCCGUGGACGAGGCGGUCGUAGGAGCGGCAACGGCAAGGUGGACGACGGCACCGAUGAAGCGAGAGGAGGCGAUGAAAGGAUCCUGGUCCAACGCCGUGGAUGAGAGACGUCCAUCUCUUGCAGUGGACGACGGGGUAGGGGUAGCGGCUCCGGCAAGGUGGAAGAUGGGGUGGCGGACGGAGGAGGCUGGCCGCAGUGCGGAGGUUGUCGUGCCGCCGACGGUGUAUGAAUGGGGAAAUGGAGGGGAGGGGGGAUCUCAAACUUUGGGACGCGCUUCUCUGAAAUGGGGGAAAGUUACGAACUUAUCCCCCGUUUAAAAUUUCGGACAUCGCAUCGGUUGGGGAUAGGACGGUAAUCUCGCAUCUCCCAAAUAUUUGCCGGUAACUAUUUCGGGCGAGGAGAGGGUGUUUUGCCGCCCACGGUUGGCGCCCACGGUGUAUGAACGGGGCUGACAGGUAGGGCGGUUGUGUCACGUCUGAUGGAAGUUACACAUCUGCCCCUAUUUAAAAUAUUAGCCUACAUCGAUUUCGGACGAGGAGAGUUUGUUUUGCCGCCCACCGUGUACGAAUGGGGAAAUGGAGGAAGAGACACAUGUCUUUCGGACGAGCUUGAAUCAAAUGUGUUUUGCUGCCCACGUUUGGCGCCCACCGUGUCUGAAUGGGCUCAGAGGCCGUCGUGUCACGUCUGAUUUAAGUUACUAGUCUACCCCUAUCGACAGCAGUGUAAAUCCGGUCGAUAAGGAUGUCAAGUGUGAGGGGUAGACAGUAAUUUCCAUCUCGCAAACACUUGCUUCGGGCAGCCCACAAAUUACAGUGGGUGUUUAGCCUCUUCGUUCAAAACUUGGGAGAAUUAGCAUUCACGUUUGCCCUGGGACCUGGCAAACUAAAUUCAAAUCCAAUUUGUAUUCAAUUACGAAUAUCCACAGAUAAUUAUACAUUUUGUUAUUUAUUUCUUCGAAACCAUAACAAACAUUUAUUCCACCUUUAUAUAUGAUUAUGAUUUAGAAAUGCCGUGAUCUUCGAAUUCAGUAGGUUGGAUACACUCUGAGUCAAACAGUUAUUUCAUCCAAUACAAUAUGCUCACACGAAAAACAGUUCACCUUAUGUCAAUCAUACAAGUACUGAGGAUUACCUCGCCUAAAAAAUUCGGAUCAUUACAACACAUGGACAACAUAGGGGGUCUUGCAACAUAAUCCAUUCAGAGAUAUGACACAACAUGCAAGUACAAUAAUCUAAUGACAAUUUCAACUGGUAUCUAAAGAAGAACCGGGAUUACCUUGGGCUUUAGAUAGCAGAAACAGCAGGACCUCCUCCGUCUUCAAAUGCAACAUUCUUACUUCCUCCAAUUCUAGGGUUGCUUGCAUAAUGCGUGGCGCUAAUUCCGUAAUUUCCAGCCUCAAGAUAAAGAUUACCUCAUUGAUGGCAGCCCCACCAUCUCUUUCUGCCUCUAGUAGAGCCUCAAGCACUAUAAUAUCUGUGCUCAGACUGCUCUCCGGCGGUGUUGCCUCUGAACUGCUACCAUCUGGUAACAUGGAUGGCACACUGCUUCCACAAAUAGAUUCUGGGGUUGUACAUUGUGUCCAAGUGUGAACGGCAUCCUGGAAGGUUUUCGCUGGACAUCAGUAAGAGAUAGUUAUCGUAUGAUCCAGGCAGUAAGCUUACAUGGUAAACGAUGGAUGAAUUAUUGCCGAGCAUGGCAAACUAUAUUUAAAUGGUUCGAAGCAGCAUCAGCCGAAAAGAAAUUAAAAUUGUAAGAUGAAACUAGGGAUGUAAGUGGCAAAUAAACGACAUCCGCCAGUCCCAUCUAGUUAGUUUUUGCUACCUCCCUAGUUCAUUUUCCACAAAAAACAAAAACUCUUUUGAACUAUCAUACCACUAGUGGACUUUAAUCGGGAUUAAACGGGACCCAGUUGACAUCCCUAGUUGAAAGGGAGUGUACAACCGCUAUAUUUAAGUUGCCAAGGCAUCUAAGCAGUUGAAAUAAUCUGAGAAAGCACUUAACAGUGUGGCCUCAUAUAAACUACCAAGACAGUCUUGUGAUGAAGUUGAGAGGAAAAGUUAAGGACUCAAAUGAAAUAGGCAUGCAUUUCUUUACGAUAGUACAGCAGGCACUGCUGACAUAUUGGACAACUCAGGUAUAGCAUAACAACAAAUAAGCAUUCGAAUCAAGCAAUACAGCAAAGCAGACAACUGAACUAUUUGUAAUUCGGUAGGAUUACAUGUUGAGGGCACAAGCCAAGAAAGCAGCCCACUCGCAUUACAUUUCACAUGUACUAAAACACACUGGCUUACCAUAUGUUGCUGUGAAGCCUAGCUGCUGUUGCAAUGUUCUUUGAAGAUAUCGUCAGCAUCCCGUGGUUGCAAAUCUAGUUGUUGUAGUUUAUUCUGCACCAUCUAUUUAGGUAAAAUUAAUUUUAAUCGCAUGCACUGGUCCGAAUUGAUCAUCAAUGGUUCAUCUAAACUAAUGAAAGAAGGGUGUGUGCAUACACGACAAUAUACCUGCUUCCCUCUAUUUUUAUGCUUGUUCGAGGUGCCAGCCCCAAAAGAACAAAUAUUUUGCUUGAUGGGGUUGGCAGCUCCAUAAUUAAUAGAAGCAUCAAAUUAGUCAUGCAACUUGGGAAGAUCAAGAACACACAAACAAGUAAUGAACAGAGGCUCGGAGCGGUGAUGUAAUAGCUAGCAUCAGAAAAUGUAGGGUAAAAUGAACAAAAAGCAGCGGAACCACAUGCUAGUUUGCUGAUGUGUAAUUAAGCAUAGAGAACAUUAAGCAGUCUGAUGGAACCAACAGGUGGCAUCAGAACAAAACUAAAGCAUAUUAACUAUAUGUGCACUAAUAUGUAAUUUAGCACAUGUAACAUGUUCACUGCCAGAAGAAUGGCCCUACAGGUGCAAGCAGAAUAACGCGUCUCAUGAAAAACUGAAUGAUGCCCUGAAGAAAUUCAAAGGUGCGGUGCUUAUGCUAGGAAAGUGAACGUAGGCGCCGGCCGUUGGAUAAUAGUACCUGAUUCUCGGCGGCGUAUGGGUAUCGUUGUCAUACUUGAUAGCUAAGGAUCGUCGAUGGUGCUCGUGUUGCGGUUGAGUUUGGGCCGGCUGUCGUCGUCGCUGAAGCGGCUCCGGUGCUACGGUUGCGGUGCCUGUCGACAUACAAGAAAGUUCAUCUGUGGUAAGUGAACAGUUGCACGAUAAAGAGAAAAACCGAAGGAGUACAAAUUGAAAUAACCUGAUGAGGCUGCGGCGUCGGUAAAGCAGGGCCGGUGGAGUUGAAUAUGGUGUCUAUGGAGCGGGUCCGGUGUAGUGGACGAAGGCUUCGACGGGCCUGUUGUACAGUGCUUUCGGUGAGGCGGAUCUGUUGCGGCGGACGAGGGCUUGUAUGAAGGGCCAGCGAAGGGGCGGACGAGGGAGUCAGUGAAGGGCCUACGCUACGGUGGACGAGGGCACCGGUUAAGCAGAUCCGGUGCGGUGGACCAUGAUGGCGGUCAAGGAGAUCUGGAGCGGUGGACAAGCCAGUCGCUGAAGCGGCUCCGGUGAAGUGGUGAGUUGGCAGUUGGGGGUUCCAAGGUGCGGAAGGUAGAUCUGGCGGGGUGUGAGGUCCACCGCUGCGGCGGAGGACUAGAUUCGGCGGCUUGCCGUGGUUGGGGGGGUCGGGGAGGGGAAGGGGAGGGGCUCUGGGGAAGAAUGUUAGGGGCAAAGAGGGGAAAACAAUGGAGUUACCAAAGCAGCCCUUUUCCGUUCAUGUGGCAGGGGUAAAACAGGAACAUCGCAGGGCUAAACUUUCGGGCGCGUGAUAUUUCGAUGUGAGCGGGAAGUUUGAAAGCUUUUCGCACCUAAAAAUAUAAGUAUUCUGCUCUCGUACGACCGACUAUGAUAUCAUGGCCGACAAUUUGUUUGUUUUGCACGCAAAAAAUGUGCAAGUUUUGAAAAUCAAUGUCUCCAACUCGAAACUUAGAUUGUCCAUUCAAUUCAAACAUGGUUCAUUGAGCUACUACAAGCAAAUACCAUCAUACGGUCCAGUUCAAAUGAAAUUCCAAAUGUGUUUAUCCUAAAUAUGAUGACAAAAGCAAAAAUGUGUAUGUGUAUGAAUAAAGUGGAUGAUUAUAAAGUUUGAACAUGCCCGUAUGUGUAUAUCUCUAGGUUUGAUAUAUGAAUUUGAAAUCACAAAAUCCCGGCUUAAAAAAUGUACCUCCGUUUAAAUGAAUUACAAAAGCUAAUGAUGGAGUCGAAUUCCAAAAUUCCAAUCUUAGGUUUGUAAUUCUGGUACAUCAAGGUAUAUCACGCAUGUUGAAAAGUAUCAUUAUCUCAUAGUACAAACUGUGAAACAAAUUGAUCAACCAUGAGUGCACAAUAUCUCAAUUACGCUAAAGUCCCUCAAAUAUAGACACCUCACUCUUUAUCUGAAGUCAACCCCCCACCACCACACACACACACACAUAGAGAAGUCGUUCUCUCCCCCAAACACCAACACACGAGCACAUUAACACCCCUCUCUCUUGUAAAGUCCGGACCCCAACAUAGGUCUCUAUCACUUUGUCUCUCGGGCAUGCACACAUGUCUUCCCUCACUCUCUAGGUCUCCCGCUAUCUCUCUUACCCAAGAACACACACUAUGUAGAGUGUAUAUUUCCCAUACACACAAAACGUUGCCCCCAAACGUCUAUCUCCCUAGUUAUGUGGUUCUCGCGCACUCACCUCACACACCACCCCCACUACAAACAAGCACACUUUGUCUCCUUGUGCACCACUCUCCUCUUUCUAUCUAUCCCACAUGCGGACCCGCCCCAGCUCCUUCCCUGUAUACAUAUAUGUCGUGACUCUUUGCAUAGCUCCCUAAUGUAUAAUCGUUCUCGAUUUCGCACAUUGUUCUCUACACCAUCUAUUCUAGAUCUCUCAUGAAGUCCCUAUCACACACACGAUGACUCGCUUCCCUUGCGUCUCCGUUCAUAGGCCAAUUUCGGAUAACAUCAACAUUGUCUCCCUAUCUAUACGCCAUUUAUGGACACAAACGACCCCUCUCGCCCCCUCUCUUCCUCUCUCUCUCUCUCUCUCUCUCUCUCUCUCUCUCUCUCUCUCUCUCUCCGUCGCUAGCUCUCUCUUUCUCUCGCUCUCACACCCCUCUCCCACACACACACUCGAUGUCUCUUCCAAAUAGUCUGCUCCCCCCACCCGCACCCGUGCUAUCUCGCUACUACACAUGUCACACCAUUCCCCUUCCCUUAUACUAGGUUUACAUCAUCAGUGGUCUCUCUACUCCACAUACACUCUCUCCCUCUCACACACAAACGCAUGCACAAACACACACAGACACGCACAAACACCCAUUUAUCUGGAUCCUCAUCUCUCCUCAUGUCCGCAUGUGUAUCUCACACACUCACUCUCUAAUUAUGUAUAUGUGUCUCCACGUUACACAACACAAAGCCCCAUGUACAUGUCUCUCUCUAUCCUCCACACACAUAGACACAAAGAAUCUGUUAUCAUUGCCUUAGUCUCUAACAUAUCACACACGCACACUGUCUCUCUCUCUCUCGCAAACACGCUCAACAAGGGUUUCCCCGUGAAUAACUUACCGUCUAUUCAUCAACAGUCGUGGCAGUACGGCGAACACGAGACGUGAAAAAAGAAUAAAUCUACACGUGCUUAGACCACCUAGUAUGACUACUAGGACUAGAGCAAGCCAAAAAGCGUGCCGCCGUCACCCCCUCCUUGUCGGCGACGGGAAAAUCUUUGUUUUACACAGUCGAGAAGUCAUUGUGCUAAGGCCCCACAUGCUGAGGUGUUGAAUAGAAUGUAGAUGCUAGUUUACGGAAGCAAGUAUCGAUAAUAUGUUUGUAUCUCCAUACUUAUAUUUCUUCUCUUAUAAAAAACCGAGUUGGUGAUGAUGGUACGUGUGCCAUCUUGCAAUAUAGACCGUCCGAUCUAUAUCUGAUGGAUGGAAAUUAAACUAAAAGAUACCCGCACCCCUCUCCACAUUUGGAGACAAGGCCUUCCCUCGUUCAUCCUUAUCUCCAACAAACCUCAUUGUUGAGCAAUUAAGAAAGGAAGCCUCUGGAACAAACUGGCCUGGUGGCCGCUGCCGGCGUCGUCAAUCCCCAUGCCUCCGCUCAGUCCGACCACCAACCACCACCACACCCCACUCCUCUUCACCUUAUCUCAUAUUUCUCGAGAUAUCAUUAGUUUUUACACAUGGGAUUACUCCCGCAAGGGUCAAUCACAACAGUGUUUUAUAAAAAAAUGCAUCUUGAUGUUCCAUGCAAUGCACGGAUCUUGCUAUUACUCCUACACAAGACUAAGUUGGUGAUGCUGGUGUGUCUGCCAUCCGUCGUUUCUGACCAUUAGAUCUACAUCUAACGAUUGUGAGGUAAGUUGUUGCCUUUUCUUACCAACAUCCCACUUGUCUACCAAUUUGCAGAAAAACCCAUAAUUAGUAUCUUAAAACCAACCACAUCCCUCCCUGACCUCACCCAAACAGCCCAAGGAAUAUAUUCUAAUUGAAACAUAAUAUAUCUCUAGUGACAUAUGUAUAUCAAAAUUAGAGUGUUUUGUACCAAGUUUGUGAAUAAGUAUUAUUCUAAUUAUGAUUCGUUGCAACGGACAUGAACAUUGCUAGUAUUUCCAACCAUGCAUUUUUUCCUAGUAUUCCAUAGUUUCGAGUUUUCCAUCAAGAUAUUAGUCACUCAUGGUUGAUAUUUACUUUCAAUCAUGUACCCAUAUGCACUAUGUAACUAGCCUUGCUUAUUGGCUUCCAAAGCUUAACUUUCACUCCUACUUACAAUAUGUAGAGUAUUUAACAAAAAACUACCACUUUCAGCCAGCCCUAGGAAGAAUCUAUUGUACAAAAAAUAGCAAAAACAUACCCAAAAUUUCUUAAUCCACGCUAAAAACUACCUAGUACUCCUACCGAUUAGGUUCGUUUAAACCCAUUUAUGACAGGGUUGGCCCACACGUCCGUGCUGACGAGGCAGCUUAAACCAACACAUUUUGUUUGACCGUUGACACGAGGGACCCACAUCUGACCUUCUAUCCUGUUAUUCCCCCUCAAAUCAUUAUUUUUCCUGAACAUUACUUCAAACAGUACGGAUGCGUAUUCGUCGGUGGCGCCGGUGAUGAGCGAGUUGGCCGCCGCUCCGCUGGACGGGCCGGAUGCCGCGGUGGCCUCCGCACGGGUUGGCAGGCUGGCCCGAGCGUGACUCACGAGCGAGCAAGCCGCCGCGCUGGCCUUCGCUCGAGCCAGAUGGCUGGCCUUAGCGCGGCGCGCGCGAGCAAGCGGCCGCGCUGCCGUGCCAAUCUAGCUAGCAAACCUUGCAGACAAGCAGCUGGACGGAGCUAUCUUGGCUAGCUAGCGGCCGCGAGCAACGGACGGAGCUGGCAUCCGGGCUACCGCAACAUGGGCUCCGCACCGCCGGCGGUUUUGACCUCGCCUUCUGCCGGCGGCGGUAGCUGCGUCCCAUGGCCGAGGAUGACUAGGAGGACGGGCCAGAGGUAGGAGGUCACUCGAGGAUUUUUGUUGGUAAGAGCAUGUACAAUGGUUGAUAAGGUAGUCUUAUCUUAAGUCUGCCACGUAUGCAAGUGGUAGUAGUUUCUUGGCAUUUUAGUGGUUUCUUGCAUUAUUAGAGCAAGUACAAUAGAGCCGAGUCAGCGGGCUAUAAGAAAUAAACUAGUAUAUUUCUUCUUAGUUGGAGGAAAGAGAAGAGGAGAGAGAAGGUAAGCGGGUUCGUGAAGAGCCAGCUCUAGCACGUGCUCCUAGGCACUAUGUGAGAAUGAGAAGUGGGCCACAUAAUAAAAAAGUAGUACACUCUUUUGAUCUAUUAUUGUACAUGUUGGCUAUAAGAUGAGCUGUAGAUGACAUGGCACUGGCUUAUAGCCAGCAGCUGGCUAUACUAUUAACCAUGCUCUUAGGGGUUUCUUGUAAGGAACAAUGUACGUACUACUAGCGACAAAAGGCGAUUCUAGGUUGCGUUGUACUCCAACGAGUACUACUAGUGGUCGCGGGAGUGUAUACCUCAUUUUGUGGGUUCAAUCCCGGCCGAACGCACGGCGGCCUUUUUUUUAAAAAUAGUACUACUACACUUCGCUGCAAGCCAAUAUUCACGGGUAGUUUGAGUUUUGAAGUCUAACGGACGUGCGGCCCCACAAUCUGGGUGCACUGGAUAGCCUAGCCACGUGAACGGGUUUUCCUUCCCAGCAUCCCGUGGCUCGCGUGCUCGCCCUAGCCGCAUCUCGCUUGCAGCUUCCAGCUAGUAGCAUAUUUAAACUAGCGCCUCCCAAUUAAGCCCGAGGAGCCGGAAAAGCCUGGCGGGGCAUUGGGAACUGUGCAAUAUGGCUCUGUACGUAAAGUGCUCUACUACUACUCUGUAGCUUGUGGCGUUACACGCAUGGACUUCACUCCAUUAUCGGCUCUACUAUAAAAGAAAUUCCUCUUGACGUGUUUUUUUGAAACGGAGGCAAAAGCUGUGCUUCAUCUCAUUCAUAAAGAAGGAACUACUAACAAAGUUUGACGAGAUCCAUUACACCUCCACAAAUGGAAGCGAAAAGCCUAGUCUCGCUGUAUCAAAUAACUCAAAUGUUCUGCCCCCGCAGUAACCGUCGCUGAUAAACAGGCUGUUAGUGUGUGCGUGAGAGGAGCGGCUGAGUAGGCCAGCUACGUGAGAGGAGCGGUUGAAUAGAGCACCGAGAGUACCCACUAGGCCACUACGCAGGUGUACUUCCCCUGCAUUGAUAGUACAGCGAUGGUUCUAGAGAACAAUAGUACCCUCCACUUCCAACUGUAGCUCCUUGGCCCUGAGAUUCAAGAGUUCAAAACUGGUGCACUAUACUAGACUAGACUAGAAGUACAGUAAAACGCACUACUAGUUGAGAAAAGUAGUACUAGUACUGCUACAGUACGAGUACGUACUCCUCCGUCACAUAAUGUAAGACGUUUUUUGACACUAGUUGGCGUGUACAAAAAAUGGCAAAAACAUACCCAAAAUUUCUUAAUCCACCCCAAAAACUACUACCUAGUGCCAAAAGUUUCUUACUAGUGCUAUUAUUUACAGUAUAAUGCAAUCCCAUAACGUUCCAUAAUGCUAGUACUUGUAGUAAAUAAUAGCCUCGCCCCUUCGCUAAGGAACGAUCUACAGUUGGAAGGGACGAGGCCCUGCGGUUACUACGCUCUUAUCUCCUCCUCGCCAGUUCCCCUCCCCCGAAGAGAAGGCAGUUCGUCGCUGCUCCCAUGGAUUCUCUAGGCGGUUCUCCUCCUCGUCGGGGCUGGGAGACCUUGGACGAUGAUCCUCUGGGAGAAAUCGCACGCCGCUCCGACUUCCUCACCGCCGCAAGACUCGGUGCUUCCUGCACCAACUUUUUCAAGACGCUGCUUAAGCAGGCUCGGGAAAAGGCCAUGCUUGUUGGUCUUCCAUGCGUCCUCGAGGAGAAGGUUCUUUUAUGGGACAGUCCUUCGAACAGUCCACCGCUCCCUGGCCAUGGUUGCACGUUGACUCCGCUAGAGUUGCCGACGUUGAGAGGUAGUCGGAUUUUGUCCGAUGAACAGGUCAGUAAUGGAGUUUGAUCAUGUAGUACUUAGUUAUUCCAUUUCCAUCCCGUAAUUUCUCUGCUGCCCACCGUCUUAUAUAUAGGUCUGGGUUGGUGCCAACGAAGAUUGGCUUGCAUACCUCCGGCCGGAUACCACCAUCAUUUUGCACAACAUCCACAGCAGUGCGGCCAUUUCGGUAGACCCCUUCUCCACCAUUGGGAUCGGCCUUCCGGACUGGCUGGGCUUGAGGCUUGAAUACGUAUGAUGAUGCCUACAUGAGAUUGAAGAAGAUAGCAAUUGCGGACCCGCCGACAAAGCGACGCGGCUACGACGAUUACUAUCUCAUCACGGUGUUCGACAUAAGAAUUGCCAUCAAUGCAAGAGGCAGUAACGGCAGAGGCUGGCGCAUGUUGGCGGCGGCAGAUUUGUACCCCUACACGUUCGAAGACGCCGUGUGCCAUCUAGGCCGCAUAUUCGCGGUGACAAGCCAGGUGACUUGUUUCAUCUGGUUGCCAUCCUACGGUACGGGAGAUUACAAACAGAAUGCACAAACCAUCAUUUGCAUCCCUAACGGUACUCCAUUAUUUUGCAGGGACCAGUCAUCCCCCGAUCAAAAUAAGAUCGCCGAUCCUGGAUGUGCAUUUGCAUCCGCGAUUCGGUCUAACCUGGAACCUUGUAGCUGACUUUGGCAUAUUGGGAUCAACUAUCUUAGCAGUCGUUACCCAUGGUACCACUGAUGUGCAACAUGGUCACACAAUCUACCACGAUCGGACCAUCACCAUCUACCCAGGUAUUCCAUUUUUUAACCCUCUCGCCUUCUCUUUCAUUGUUGUACUAGUAGUAUACUUUGUAGUACUAGUAGGAGUACUUUUUACCUUGGAGGACGCGUAUAGCUAGCUAGGCCCUUAAAGACUUGAACCCACUAGCUGCCACCAUUUUUGUUUUUCCAUGUCUUACUAUCUCAUCCAUGUUGCCAAGAGUGGCUAUAUAUAAUAAGCCAGUUAUUUUACUUCCUCUAUACCGGAGUAGUACUAUUUGCUGCACAGUAUUACUGACCGCCAUAUUUGAGCCCAACAUUAUUAUGCAUGGACCUUGACUAUGUACGUCACCAUGUGUCCAGAUCUGGGAUGCCGCGUGUACGAGAUGAACAGCGCCGAGUUCGACCCCCGUGAUGCUACGUGGGUGCCGAGGAACACUCUUGGAGAGUACUCGCUUUUCAUCGGGGACAGCUACCCCAUUGUGAAGCGGAUGCCACCUUCCGUGCAUGACACGGAAGGCCUGCCGUUCAUGAAGCAUGGUUGUGUCUUCAGUGCGCACCGCCGGAUGAACGACAAGCUGGGACACGCUAUCCCUGAUUUAUGCCGCUUCAGCUUGGAUGAGUCUCCAUCGUGUGGAACCGGACUAGAAAGCUGCGACAAUGAUUCCCGUUGCCCACCGCUAUGGAUCGUGCCAUCCAUGAAGAACACAUGGGACUGGAACCUGGAGGAGGACAUGUAGCCCAUCUAUAACAUGUAAGUGGAGUACGGUAAUUGUGAACGGUAGCGCUGUGAAUAUAUGUAGACUAGUCGUGCACAAAUUUAUCACAUGAAUUGGAGAUGAACUUGUGUGGCAUACUAGUAAGUGUGUUACGUGUACGUGCAACUUGUGUGGUUGUUGCACGGGCUCCAACACGCUCUUUGAGAAAAAAAGGUGGCACAACUUUGGAUAUACGUGACGUGGCGACAUCAUACAGUAGCAUCGUUCGCUAUAGUUGUAGUACACUCCUACUAGGAUGCCAACUCCUAUAAAACCUUGCGCUUGGCUCUUUGCCUCUUCGGGAGGUUUAACAGUUCGUACUCUUGUGAACCUUGCACUUGGCUCUUCGCCUCUUCGGAAGGUCCAACAAUGAUGAUACUACAGUACAAUAUGCUUCUGGCAAUCUGACACCGAUUGAACUGCUGCACGUCCACCGCGAGGGCGAGGGCGAGGGAGAGGGAGAGGGAGAGGGCGCUGUAGUCAAAACCCUCUCCUCGUCCUGCGAACCACCGCACGCGUGGGCGAGGGAGAGGCGUAGUAAGCAAGCUUCUCCUCGUUCGGCGAGUUGACGGGACACAUCAAAGCAGUACUAGUACUAGUAGUAGUAGUCCAUACUGCGUCCUUUCCAAUUAAUAUGGCUUAAUUUGAAUCGAGAAAAAUACACUGGCGGUAAACAUAUGUAACAAUACGCUCUUUACGGUCACUAUAUAUAGUUUUGCGGCGAUUAUACGAUCACUAGCUCAUCGUAGAGCACUGUAUUGCACCCUACUGACAGGCCACAUAGUCGACGUGGCACUUUGUUGACUGGUUAAAUUGUCACCUGGUUUCUGGGUCCCACCUGUCAGUUGGCAGAGCAAAGAAAUCAGUGUUGCGUGCGUCCAUGUGUACGUGUGAGUGUUGCAUGUUGCAUGCAUGCAUGCAUGGGGCUUACUCCCUCCCAUUGACAUGUUCAUAUUUCAAGCUUCCUCUGUUCCCUCCAUAUGGUAAUACUCCCUCUGUUCCCAAAUAGUACGGAGUAAAAGCCUCCCUCUGUUCCCAAAUACGGAGUAUUUGUCUUUCUACAGAUUUCAACAAGUGACUAGGUACGGAGCAAAAUGAGUGAAGUGAGCGUAGAGGCAUUGGGAUACUGUAGAAAGGAAGUCCUCGCGAUCCAUUAUUCCCCAUCUCGGUCUGAGAGAACUAUUCAACUAGUCUUCGUAGUGAAGUGACAAUACACACUGUAGUAGAUGGGACACGUAAAUAAUAAGCUGAACCAUCGUGUUGGUGUUACUAAAUCAGCCUUACCCAGUACUGCCAUCAUGUUUGCCAGUAGAGCACGCUUCCGCAAAUAUGCCUACGCACCUCUGUCCUCCAUUAACUGACAUAUGGGCCCUGUUGUGGUAGACCCACAUGACAUCGGUGUAACUAUUUACACUCCGAAGGACGGUAUAUCCUGGUAGUAGUACUAGUAGAAUUGAGAUUGAAUGCACUUUCUUCCCCGUCUUCCACUCUUCUUCCACCUCUCUUCUUCUUCCUCCUCUCUUCUUGUUCCUCCUCUCUUCCCCAUCGUCGGCCGCACACCAUUUACCCCCGCUCACUGCUCGCCCGCCCGCGCCAUCUUCCUUGGUAGCUCGCGCGUACCAUAUCCCCCCACUCACUGCUCGGCCACACAAGGAGAAGCUUCUUUGCUCGCCCGCCCGAAUCCACUUCCCCGCUGGCUCGCAGGCACCGAAAACCCCAAUGGCAGAACCGACUGACACGCAGAGCCGCGAUUGGAAUUCCCUCCCCGAUGUUCUCUUGGAGCAGAUCUGUAGUCGUAUGGAUCUACUCAGCACCGUCCGUCUGGCCGCAUGCUCGGUGUCUUCGUACCGUCUACUCGUCUGCAAUCGGCCGGCUCUUUUCAAGACACCCUGCUUGCUGAUGCCCGAUCCUCGCAGGUGGCCUAGACACCGACUUGAUGAUCCUACGGAGGUUGCCGUGGUGCCCCUCGACAUGCUACCACUACCCGUCCACCUGUCCUUCAUGCGCGGCCACUACUGGGCGGGCAUGAAGGCCAACUAGAUCGUCCUCAUCCACCACACCGGUAGUCUGUGGCGUCUCGUGGAUAUCUACACCCAGCGAGAGAUCACCCUUCCAUCGUUGGAUACCGCCGCCAUCGAGCCUCGCGGCCCGUCGGACACUCCUGCCUACUACGCACGAGACGCGUCAAGCUUUUGGCCCGACCUCUGUUUGCAGAAAGUUGUAAUCUGCGAAGUGCCCACACCAUCCGAAGACUACAUGCAUUACAAGCUCAUUGCCUUGUUCAACAUGGGAUUAGUCUAUCUGGAAUCCGGUCGCCAUACAUGGUUAUGGCUCAUCAUCAAUCUUGUCGAGGCAACAUUUCUGUCUGAUGCUAUAGUGCACGAUGGCAUCGUUCACGCGGUCGACGCAUCGAUUGGCUGCCUAUACUGGUGGAAUCUAUCAUCGUGUAAUUGUUCUAUCUCAUCUCAUCUUUACCUUAUGAAUACGACUGCCUGUUCAUUUGUUACAAAUUUAGAAUGCAUAUCAUGUCUAUAACCACAUCAUUGCUAUAUGUUCCUAUCAUUUCCUAGAUUUUUAUGACCACACAUGUUAUUGUUAGAGUUGAUAUGAGAACAAUUGGCAUCUAAUGAUUGUUAGAAUACAUAUUAUGAGCAUAACAUCUUGAUUGCUAUAUGUUACUCUCGUUUACAAGAUUUUUAUAACAACGCAUGUUAUUGCUUAGAGUUGAUAUGAGAAUAGUAGUAGUAAGUGCUAUGGUAGAAUAUGAGUAGGCGCUGUCAUAGCUGUUUUCCUCUCAUUGUUACAUGAUGUUUGAACCAUGACAUAUUGCUAGAAUAUGAAAGCCAUUGGCUUAUUUUUUUAACUUGGGGUAUGAUUAUGACCACGACAUUGCAAUUCUCUGUCUAUGAUAUGUGUCACUGUUAUAAUAAUCUUAAUUCCACACAUACUCUGAACAUGAUUGUUUAUUUUUGUCAUUUUGGUCUCCAAUUUGAAUUGUUGCAGCAGAUGCAAAUGCGCUGGCCUUCAUGAUUCCAGGACCUGGAAUCAUACCAGCCGAUGGGUGGUGGUUUAUCGCUCGUUCAGCUGACGGCGAUCAUUUGAUGCUCAUUCGCACGUACCAAAUUGACCAAACCAUUACAUCAAACCACAUGCAGUACAAUGCGUGGGGCGUUCAUGACAUUGAUGGCUAUGGCUGCUUCGUGUUCGAGAAAGAUCCCAGCUCCGUUGGGCCAGGCGUAUUCAACUGCAGGCGGGUUUACAGCCCCGGCAACCACUCCUUGUUAGGUGACACAAGAAUCCCGGCGGCGUGUUCGGGUAUUCUGGACUUCAAAUUUGGAGUACCACUUAUUUGUCGAAAUCUUUCAUCAUUCACUUAAAACAGUCGAUUGAUCAUACAUUGAGUACCAUAUAACUGGAAUUACCGAUGCAAGUCGAAGAAGGAUUAGCCGGUGCUGCCGGCUGGCGUCAAGUUUGAUCCCACGGAUCAGGAGCUGAUCGAGCACCUUGAGGCCAAAGUGAGUGCUGACAGCGCGAGAUUUCAGUCUCUCAUUGAUUUGUUCAUACCAACCAUCGACAGCGAGCAGGGCAUAUGCUACACCCAACCUGAGAAACUUCCAGGUAAGACACCGAUCGGCCGUCUACUUGCACAAACAUAUUCCUUUGUUUAUAGCUCUAUUUUUCUUUUUAGACGCAGACCUGGUGAAGCAAUUACAAUUUGACAGUUAAUAAAAAGUGAAAGAAGUGACUGCAACAUGCCAAAGAUGUUAUGAAAAUGCCAACUAGGUACACUAAAACCUGUAUUCCACAAUACUGCAGGUAUCACACUGAGUGGCCUAAGGAAGCAUUUCUUCCAGCACAAUUCUAGGGCGUUCAAAAGGGGCACGUGGACGCAUCGCAAGAUACAGUCAGAGUGCGGCAUGCACGCAAUGUGGCACAAGACCGGCAAUACCUUGCCGGUGAUGGUCAACGGCCGGCAGACGGGCAGCAAAAAAGGUUCUGGUGCUGCACACCAACAAGAACUUCGACCAGCAGAGGACCAACUGGGUGAUGCACCAGUACCACCUCGGGGACCUGGAGCAAGAGAAGGAGCAGGAGCUGGUCCCCUGCAAGAUUUUCUACCAGACGAACACUAGGGCCAGGAGUAAAAAGAUUAUAAGUUAGUUUGGUAUUGGUAGUUGUACUACCUUGUCGUCCGCAAAUUGGUAUUGUUGUUAACGAUCUUUUGGUAUGAACUUGCAUUUGCUUCCAACCAUCAUGCCGAGGGUCGACGUGGAUAUAAAGCUGAAUCAUUUGUUUCAAAACGAAUUUUCAGGCACCUGAUUUUUAUUUGAUGGGUAGCAUAAGCACCCGCCGUUCGAAUUCCCAGUUCUCCAAUUUUUUCGAAACAAGUGCAUGCACUUAUUAUCACGAUAAAAAAACAAUAUCCGUGCUGCAUCCCAGUUAUCAGUCUGUACUUGCAGAAUUCUCUCAUUUAUUGAGCACGUAUAUUGUUUUUUCAGGUCGAGCAAGUUUCAACUGGGUUGUAGACUGCCCAGGGUUGGUUUUGUUUUUAACAGGCCCAGCCCAUGACGACAACGGGGCACAAAGAUCCAGCAGGUAUCUACUGGCCUCUGGCCCGCCAGCGUUACUUAUAUUUUGUCUUACAACAUCCGCAAGCAGUUUUUUUACUAAAUCAAACACACAGCCUAGUUCUAUUUUCCUCUUGAAACGCAUGUCCUACAUCCGUUUUCUAAUCUCUACCUAUAGUUUUACUAGUUCAUAUACACGUAUCAUUAUAUUGAAAACACAUAAAAUUCCCUUUUCAUAUAUACAUCCUUAUUUUUGUUGUUUUUUCCCACCCAGCGCUGUUUUUUACCACUGGUUUUCCUUAAACCAACUCAAUUGUCCCACGUCUUAUUUGCUUACAAAAACAAAACGAUUUUUUUGGCAAAUCAAUAAGUUCUUAAAAAAAUGUUUAUCAUUUCGGGAUUACAACAGUUCGGACUCCACCGAAAUAUGCAAAAUAAGGUUGAACUUUUUGACCGUGGUCCUGGGCAGAAAAUGGGCUGUAAUAAAUUACUUAAGAAUUAGCAAAUGGGCUGCAAAUUAUAAAAAAUAGCAAAUGGGCUUUAUGUUGUCUGCCACAGAUUUGGAGGCUGACUUGUGGGCGUACUAAGUUCAUGCGUACACAAGGUUUCUCAAAAAAGAAACUUAGUCAACAAUCGACUCUACCAGCAUCAGACCGUUAGAUGUCAAUCUAACGGCAAUCGUGCUUCUUCAGUCUCUGAUCUUCCUGCCCCAGCCGCCCAAACCAGCGCCAUCGGAACCGCCUGCUCCCGCCUCCCGUGGCCGGCAAUGCUGCCGGGCAGGCCUCACGGCCCCAUCAUACUAGCAUCCCUGGCCUGUCUAUCCCUCUACUCACCCACACCUCCUGUUAUUUUCCGGCUACGGCAACCGAACCAGUCAACCCUCGUACUCUCCACCGCGUGGGCAGCCACUGCCGUGUCUUCCCCGGCUCCGUGUCGUUCCCUUCGUAGGCCUCGCCAUCGUCCACCGCCCUGGUGCUCUCGGCGCGGCGUGGUCAACGAUGUCCAUCCAACGGCCGUAGUGCUUCUUCAACCUCUGGUCUUCUUGCCCCAGCCGCCCAAAGCAGCGCCGGUCGUGCCGCAUGCUCCUGCCUCCCGUGGCCGGCUGUGCUGCCGCGGAGGCCUCACCGUCCCCAUACUACUCCCACCGCUGGCCAGGCCAUCCCUCCACUCAUCCACUCCCCCUGUUAUUCUGCGGUGACGGCAGCCUCACACCGCAGCCGAACCAGUGAACCCUCGUACUCCUCUCCGCGCGGGCAUCCACUGCCGCGUCUUCCCCGGCUCCGCGUCGUCCCCUUCCUAGGCCUCGCCGUCGUCCACCGCCGUGGUGCUCUCGGCGCAGCGUGGUCAAUGUGGUCAACGACCGACUUCCAUCGGAAGCGUACUGUACGUGGAGAGGCUGACAGCUGGGUCCACGGCAGCCGCAAGGAAGUGCCUCCUUAUUACGCGCAAAAUAAUUAUUCCUCCACCUGACAGCAGGGACCCACCGGACGGGCCACCAGUAUUUUGCGGAAAAAACGUUUGCCCCUGACUGCUGGGACCCACCGGACGGGCCACCGUAUUUCGUGGAAAAAACGUUUGCCCCUGACUGCUGGGACCCACCGGACGGACCACCGUAUUUCGCAAAAAAACGUUCCCCCCGCUGUCAGCUCAGACCCACCGGAAGUGCCUCCUUAUUACGCACAGAAAAAUGAAUACCCCCUGCUAGCUAGGACCCACCAUGGUGGGAGGCUGACUUGUGGGCCUACUAAGUUGACGGGGACGGAGGGCUUUGUCAACUUAGUCAAUAUGGACGAUUCUAGCUCCAGUGACCGUACGAUGUCCAUCCAACGGCCGUCGUGCUUCUUCAAUCACUGCUCUUCCUGCGCCAGCCGCUCGAACAAGCGCCGGCGGGACUGCCUGCUCCCUCCUCCCCACGGCCGGCUCUGCUGCCGCGCAGGCCUCACCACCCCACCGUACUCCCAUCGCUAGCCUAGCCAUCCCUCUACUCACCCACACCUGCUGUUAUUCUCCGGCGACGGCAGACGAACCAGUAAACCCUCGUACAGUCGUACUCCCCUCCACGUGGGAAACAACUGCCGAGUCUUCCCUGCCUCCGUGUCGUUCCCUUCCUAGGCCUCGCCGUCGUCCACCGCCCUGGUGCUCUCGGCGCGGCCUGGUCAACGUGGUCAACGACCAACAUGCAUCUGAAGUGGACUGUACGUGGAGAGGCCGACAGCUGGGGCCACGGCCGCACGCAAGGGAGUGCCUCCUUAUUACGCUCAAAAUAAUGAUUCCUCCACCUGACAUCAAGGACCCACCAAAAGGGCCUCUGUAUUUCGUGAAAAAAACUUUACCGCCACUGACAGCUCGGACCCACCAGCUAUAUCUUCGCACGCAAGGAAGUGCCUCCUUAUUACGCACAAAAAAAUGAAUACUCCUCCUGUUAGCUGGGACCCAGUAUAGUGGCAGGCUGACUUGUGGGCCUACUAAGUUGACGGGGACGGAGGGCUUUGUCAACUUAGUCAAUAUGCACGAUUCUAGCUCCAGUGACCGUACGAUGUCCAUCCAACUGCCGUAGUGCUUCUUCAACCUCUGGUCUUCUUGCUCCAGCCACCCAAACCAGCGCCGGUCGUGCCUCGUGCUCCUGCCUCCCGUGGCCGGCUGCGAUGCGGUGGAAGCCUCACUGCCCCCUACUACUCCCACCGCUGGCCAGGCCAUCCCUCUACUCACCCACACCCCCUGUUAUUCUGCGGCGACGGCAGCCUCACACCGCAGCGAACCAGUGAACCCUCGUACUCCUCUACGCGUGGGCAUCCACUGCCGCGUCUUCCCCGGCUCCGCGUUAUCCCCUUCCUAGGCCUCUCCGUCGUCCACCGCCCUGGUGCUCUCGGCGCGGCGUGGUCAACGUGGUCAAGGAACGGCUUCCAUCGGACGUGGACUGUACGUGGAGGGGCUGACAGCUGGGUCGACGGCCGCAGCAAGGAAGUGCCUCCUUAUUAUGUGGAAAAUAAUUAUUCCUCCACCUGACAGCGGGGACCCACCGGACGGGCCACCGUAUUUCGCGAAAAAAUGUUUCCCCCCUGACUGCUGGGACCCACCAGCUACACCUUCGCACGCAAGGAAGUGCGUCCGAGCAAAAAAAAAACAAAACGAUUCGCCCCCCUGACUGCUGGGACCUACCAGCUACAUCUUCGCACGCAAGGAAGUGCCUGACAGUCGGGACCCACCUGGUCUAAGCGUACGUAGCGUUGUCAUUCUGGUCGCGAACGUGUACGUACGUAUAUACUGGUGGAUGUAGAGGCGCGCACGUGUCGUAGUAGAGGCGUGUACAUGUCGUAGUAGAGACGCACACAUAGCAUGUACACGUACGUAUAGCGGCCAGGGUGCAAGAAAGAAAAUACGGCCACGUAUGUGUAUAUACGGGCGGGGUCUCGAACGCCUACUCGCGCAUACGUACGGCCAGGGCUCGUGUACAUGGCUGGGUCGGAACGGAGAAACAGCGUCGUCGUCGUGUUCAUGGGGAGGCAAUGGAAUGCGUCGUGUUCAUGGGGAGGCAACGGAAUGCGUCGUGUUCAUCGGGAGGCAACGGAACGCGUGGGAGCCAACCGGCUGGGUCGGAACGGAAUGCGUGGUCGUGUUCAUCGGGAGGGCUUGGACGGAACAGGCGAUGGAAACGAGGCCUGGCGUACCGCAGAACGGAGAAAACGGACCUCCUACGGUCGAAACGGGGGUCCUAUUGAUCGGGAGGGGUGUGGCGUACCGCAAAACGGAGGAAACGGACCUCCUACGGUCGAAACGGGGGUCCUGUUGAUUGGGAGGGGUGUGGCGUACCGCAAAACGGACGAAACGGACCUCCUACGGUCGAAACGGAGGUCCUGUUCAUCGGGAGGGGUGUGGCGUACCGCAAAACGGGACUCCACGGGAUACUGUUCAUCUCCACCGUCGACCUCCUCCAGCCUCCACGGGCUACCGUCGACCUCCUCCAGCCUCCACGGGCUCCUGUUCAUCCAGCCUCCACCGCGCGCUACUCCACCAGCUACUGUUCAACCACCCCUCCACCGUCUACUGUUUAUCCAGCCCUCCACACCACGGGGUCCUGUUCAACCACCCCUCCACGGGCACCCCUCCACCGUCUACUGUUCAUCCAGCCCUCCACACCACGGGGUCCUGUUCAUCCAGANNNNNNNNNNNNNNNNNNNNNNNNNNNNNNNNNNNNNNNNNNNNNNNNNNNNNNNNNNNNNNNNNNNNNNNNNNNNNNNNNNNNNNNNNNNNNNNNNNNNNNNNNNNNNNNNNNNNNNNNNNNNNNNNNNNNNNNNNNNNNNNNNNNNNNNNNNNNNNNNNNNNNNNNNNNNNNNNNNNNNNNNNNNNNNNNNNNNNNNNNNNNNNNNNNNNNNNNNNNNNNNNNNNNNNNNNNNNNNNNNNNNNNNNNNNNNNNNNNNNNNNNNNNNNNNNNNNNNNNNNNNNNNNNNNNNNNNNNNNNNNNNNNNNNNNNNNNNNNNNNNNNNNNNNNNNNNNNNNNNNNNNNNNNNNNNNNNNNNNNUCGAUCGGCUUCAGUUAGCAGCAGUAGCGAAGGAAUCGCUCGAUCGGGUUCAGUUAACAGACAUCGAUCGAUCGCUCGGGUUCAGUAAUGCGUAGCCUGCAGUGUAAUCGCUCGGGUUCAGUUAGAGCCCAACCCCUCGCUCGGGUUCAGUUAGAGCCAACGCCUCGCACACACGCGCGUACGUGUACGAGAGAAACGCACAUCGCUCGGCCCCCGACCUACCACCGUAACCGGGAACUCCCCGAAAUUUUCCUCGCCCUCGCUUCUACCAUGGUUUUUUCCGUCAUGGACGGCCCAAAGAAUGUCAUGUAGCUGCGUCUCCGCCCGCCCAGGACGAAAAGCCCAUUUUCUGUCAUGAUUUUUUGUCAUAGAAGUAGGAGCCCACCACAUCUAUGAUGAUACCGGGUUUUGUCACAAUUAUCGUCAUAGAAGUGUCACAUGUAUGACAGAAAAAAAUUUCGUUUGGCCCAAAAUGUCACGGAUGUGUCUUUUUUUGUAGUGUAAGGGGCCUCUGAAACCGGGACAAAUGGGCCGGUUUCUACCAGUGGAAGCUCCAUCCUCCUUUCUCGUCCUCUCUUCCUUUUCUCAUAUCAGCUUUCAUCCAUCUCCCAUACUGUUGCACCUCACCUCUCCCUAGUCCAAUAGAACACGCCUUGUCCACGUGUCCAAUUAUACCACACGUGUAACAAAAAUCAGGGAGGUACUCAUACUCUAGGGGGCACCAUUUUUGCUCAUCAUCUUUCUUCUUUCUUUUAUCCACGUCCAUCACUUCUGCAGACUCCUUGUCUUCUCCCGUUCAAUAUCCAAAGUGAUUCCUCUCAACAGUGGCUUUGUAAUGUCUAGUCUAACUUUCAGCCUAAGGAAACUUCCAGCCACAUUAUCAUCAUCCCCCUGGUUACCUCCAUGAACUCGCCAAUCUCGUCACCAAUGAUCCCUCCGUUUUCUUCACUCAUGAAACCUAGCGGCAUCUUGGUCACCCUGACCCAAAUAGGGAUGAUAGUGAACUCAUACUCUUCUAGCGUUUUAGCUGGGUCGAAAUCUACCAUCACAAUCAGGUUCUUGCCCACCAUCCAUGGCCCUUCCUCCAAUGCUUUCCUCUUCCCCGCUGCUUGCAAGAAGGUGAAAAGAAAGGUGUUGUCCUCUAACUCCUUGCACUUGAUUCCCUUGAUCGGACACCACGCUCUUCCGAGGGAUUUAAUCAUACCUUCCACAUAUACUGGUUUGUCGGACAUAACCUUACCGAUCGCCUGUGGAUCUUCCGUUCCCGUUCUCCUCAACCCGCCCCUUCCGAUCUUGACUCCCUUCUUCUCUGCUUCUGGCAACCGCAACUUCUGCAUCAAACCUUCCACUUUCUCCAUUGUGUCGAGGACUUGCAUCAAUCUAUGGUUUACUAGGUGGUUGUAUUACGAAUGGAUGCCCUAGCAACACUCGUAAGGCUUUUGGUGGAUGGGUGAGCGGUCUCGAGAUCAAUCUAGCAAGGAUCGCCGAGGCUAGGGGGAGAGUUUGCUGGCGUCGGCCAGAGACGGGGUCGCCUGAGGGGACUCUAGGGUUUACCAGGAGUCACCGUAGAAUCCCCUGGGAAUCGCCCAAGCGCCAAUCAUGGAACCGUCACCCAAGGGACGGACGGGUUAAGGAUGAUAAUUAAAGCGGACUUUGAUAGAGAGACACGUGAGAAAUAGAGUGAUAGAGAGAGAUACGUGAAAAUUAAAGCGGUUUUAAUUUCUUUCUUUUCUGUAAUUAAAGAGAUACGCAUGAGAAAUAGAGAGAUAAGAGAGAUACCUGAGAAUUAAAGCUGUUUUAAUUUUUUCCGUUUCUAUGAUUAAAGAUCUGAUCUACACAGUUACAAUCUUGACCUGCAAAAUCAACGGCCUCCAUUUUCUAUUUUUCUCUAAUUAAUGUGGGAAUUUCUUGGGAGUGCCUAUUAGUAUAGGUAUAUAUAUGUGCAAAAAUCUCGACAUUAAUGAACAUAUAUCUGGUGCACUUGCAAUCUUUUGUAGUACAUUAAUGAAUAUUUAAAGUAUUUUCCAACUCUUGCUAUUUAUAGACUUGUCGUCCGUGUCUGCCACAUUUGGAGUCCAACUAUUUCCUACUGGAACCUUACACUCCACUAGAACUGAGUUUGUCAAGUAACAGAUAACCAAUAUGAGAGGGAGCAGCCUAGUGCAGGCGACGAUGAUAUUCUUCAUUGGAUGCCUUGUGCUUUGUGCACAGUGUAAGUAUAUAUCAUCAUCGUCUUUAGAAUCUUGUGUUAACUUCUUGCCACUAAUUCUUCGGAUCAGACAUACAUACACACACACAUCUGCGGUACUGCAUACUAAGGUUAAAUAUACUAUACAGGUGCUCUCGAUAAUAAGCAAAGGAUGGUCAACCAGGAUGAUCAUGCGGCGAACACAAGUACCAACGCUACCAUCAUCAACUCAACAACUGUAGGCGAGAGCAAGAAAACCGAGAAAUUUUGCAGCCUCUUUCUCGUAUGUUAUUUCAACAUUGAGAUUCGUGCUGAGUGCUACUGUUGCGAGAAUAAGAAUGCCGACUGUUACAAGACGAAGAGUGAGUGCCUGCAAAAGUGCCAUUCCUACAACGGUUAAUGCCCACCUUCAUCGCGGUCUUUGGGAUAGAAUUCCAUAUGCUUGGAAAAUUUGCCCGUCGGUAAUAAAAGGCACCUUAUAUGGUUUGGGCAAUUAGGUUCCAAUUAAACAUGAGAAAGCCCGCAUGUUUCCGUGUAGAUCCAACAAGGAAAAAUUUGAUGAAAGAAAUCCAAGUAACUAGUUGUCUUGCAUAUUUACAAAGUUCAAAUCCUUUGGUUGUUGUGCUUUGACUCGAUUGUCUAUUAUGCUGUUUCAUUUACUUGCACAUUGCCCACUUGUUCAUUUAACACACAUCACCCACUUGGUGAUUUG